rnacentral:lncRNA from 1 species
UUUGGAGGAACCUCUACAUCAUUUUGAUCGCCUAAUAAAGAUUCUUCCAACAUUUCAGUUUGUACAUUAAAUGUGCUGGUAAGUUCUUCGUCUUGGAAAAUCUAAGCAGCUCCCACUUCCUGCUCGAUGUGAUACAUCCAUCUAUAUUGCACAGGACCUCCUACCUUAGCUUCGUAUGGUAGGUGAACAAGUAGAUGUUGCAUCAGAUUGAAGAAACCUGGUGGAAAUAUUUUUUCAAGUUUGCAUACCAAAAUCGGUAUUUGUUGCUCAAGCUUCUCCAUCAUCUCUUUGUUUAUUUCUUUAGCACAAAGAUGUCUAUAAAAGUAGCUUAGCUCCGCUAAUGCUUUCCAGACAUCAUUUUUUACAAACAGGAAGGAGUCUUUCCAUUAUUAUGUGGUAGUCAUGAAUCUUCAACCUAGAAAACUUGCCCGUCUUCAAAUUCACAGACCUUCUAAAGCCCGCGGCGUAACCAUCUGGGAACUUUAAGUUUUUCAACCAUUUCAUCAAUUGUUUCUUCCUUUUAGGUUUAAUACUGAAAGGAGCACGUGGCUUCUUCUGGUUCUCUCCUAUCUCCAUAGUUGGUCUUCUACAAAUUAAGGCCAAGUCUUUUCUAGCCUUAGGGUUGUCUUUUGUUUUGUCAGUGAUAUUCAUGCAAGUGCUGAUAAUGCUUUCUUGGUGCAUCACAUCAAUGUUAUGCAUUAGAAUCAAGGCUUUCAUAUAAGGGAGUUCCCAUAUACCACAUUUGUGAGUCCAAUUAUGCUUGGUUCCAUAACCUUCAAAACGAUUUACAUGUUCGUUUAGUUUCAAAUCAUUAGGUCUCGCGAGAAUCUCUGCACCACUAAGACACUUGGGUGGUCCCCUCGUCACAAUCAUGUCCUUUUUUAAAGCGUUCCUAUCGAACCUGAACGGGUGAUCCUCUGGCAAAAAACAUCUAUGACAAUCGAAGUAACAUAUCUUUCCACCAAACUUUAGUCAAAAGCAUAAAGUGUCUUCAACGCAUAUCGGACAUGUCAAAAUCCCAUGACAACUUGAAAGGGAAUUAGGCUUACACCUAGUUCCUAAAUAAUUUUGGUGGUUGAAUUGCCCAACACAAAUAAUUGGACUAACUAGUUUGCUCUAGUGUAUAAGUUAUACAGGUGCCAAAGGUUCACACUUAGCCAAUAAAAAGACCAAGUAUUGGGUUCAACAAAAGAGCAAAGGGACAACCGAAGGCACCUCUGGUCUGGCGCACCGGACUGUCCGGUGUGCCACCGGACAUAUCCGGUGCACCAGAGGACUCCAGCGCAAACUCGUCGCCUUCGGGAAAAUCCAGAGGCAACUCCACUAUAAUUCACCGGACUGUCCGGUGUACACCGGACAGUGUCCGGUGCUCCAAGGAAGAGCGGCCUCAGGAACUCGCCAGCUUCGGGAAACUGCAACGGCUGCUCCGCUAUAAUUCACCGGACUGUCCGGUGUAACUGCGGGGCAACGGCUACUUCGCGCCAACGGUCACCUGCAACAACAAUUAAUGCGCGCCAGAGCGCGCAGAAGUCAGGCACGCGCGUAGUGGCACACCUGACACUCUACAGUACAUGUCCGGUGCGCCACCGGACAUCCAGGCGGGCCCAGCGUCAGAGCUCCAACGGUCGGAACCCAACGGUUUUGGUGACGUGGUUGGCGCACCGGACAUGUCCGGUGUGCACCGGACUGUCUGGUGCACCAUACGACAGUCAGCCCCACCAAACUGCUAGUUUGGUGGUUGGGGCUAUAAAUACCCCCAACCACCCACCAUUCAUUGCAUCCAAGUUUUCCACUUCUCAACCACUUACAAGAGCUAGGCAUUCAAUUCUAGACACACUCAAGUGAUCAAAUCCUCUCCAAUUCCACACAAAGCUUUAGUGACUAGCGAGAGAGAUUUGCCGUGUUCUUUUGAGCUCUUGCGCUUGGAUUGCUUCUUUUCUUUCUCACUUGUUCUUGUGAUCAAAACUCCAUUGUAAUCAAGGCAAGAGGCACCAAUUGUGUGGUGGCCCUUGCGGGAAAGUUUUGUUCCCGUUUGAUUGAGAAGAAGAAGCUCACUCGGUCCGAGGGACCGUUUGAGAGAGGGAAAGGGUUGAAAGAGACCCGGUCUUUGUGACCACCUCAACGGGGAGUAGGUUUGCGAGAACCGAACCUCGGUAAAACAAAUCCUUGUGUCAUACUCCUUAUUUGCUUGAGAUUUGUUUUGCACCCUCUCUCGCGGACUCGUUUUAUUUCUAACGCUAACCCGACUUGUAGUUGUGUUUAUAUUUGUAAAUUUCAGUUUCGCCCUAUUCACCCCCCCCUCUAGGCGACUAUCAAUUGGUAUCAGAGCCCGGUGCUUCAUUAGAGCCUAACCGCUCGAAGUGAUGUCGGGAGAUCACGCCAAGAAGGAGAUGGAGACCGGCGAAAAGCCCACUACAAGCCACGGGAGCACUUCAUCGGAAGAGUCCCGCAUCAAGAGGAAGGAGAAGAAGAAGGACUCCUCCAAAGGGAAGGAGAAGAGAUCUUCCUCACACCACAAAUAGAAGAAGGAGAAAUCCUCUUCCCACAAGCCGUAUCGGAGUGGGGACAAGAAAAAGAGGAUGAGGAAGGUGGUCUACUACGAGACCGAUUCUUCAUCGGCAUCCACCUCCGGCUCCGACGCGGCAUCCAUCACUUCAAAACGCCAAGAGCGUAAGAAGUAUAGUAAGAUCCCCCUACGCUACCCUCGCAUUCCUAAACAUACACCUUUACUUUCCGUCCCAUUAGGCAAGCCACCAACAUUUGAUGGUGAAGAUUAUGCUAGGUGGAGUGAUUUAAUGCGAUUUCAUCUAACCUCACUCCACAAAAGUAUAUGGGAUGUUGUUGAGUUUGGUGCAUAGGUACCAUCCGUAGGGGAUGAAAACUAUGAUGAGGAUGAAGUAGCCCAAAUCGAGCACUUCAACUCCCAAGCCACAACCAUACUCCUCGCCUCUCUAAGUAGAGAGGAAUAUAACAAGGUGCAAGGGUUGAAGAAUGCAAAGGAGAUUUGGGAUCUACUCAAGACCGCGCACGAGGGUGAUGAACUCACCAAGAUCACCAAGCGGGAAACGAUCGAGGGGGAGCUCGGUCGCUUCCGUCUUCGCCAAGGGGAGGAGCAACAAGAUAUGUACAACCGGCUCAAAACCUUGGUGAACCAAGUGCGCAACCUCGGGAGCAAGAAAUGGGAUGACCACGAGGUGGUUAAGGUUAUUCUUAGAUCACUCAUCUUCCUUAACCCCACUCAAGUUCAAUUAAUUCGUGGUAAUCCUAGAUACACACUAAUGACUCCCGAGGAAGUUAUCGGGAAUUUUGUGAGCUUUGAAUGUAUGAUCAAGGGCUCAAAGAAGAUCAACGAGCUUGAUGAUCCCUCCACAUCCGAAGCACAACUGGUGGCAUUCAAGGCAACGGAGGAGAAGAAGGAUGAGUCUACACCAAGUAGACAACCAAUCGACGCUUCAAAGCUCGACAACGAGGAGAUGGCAUUAAUCAUCAAAAGCUUUCGCCAAAUCCUCAAGCAACGGAAGGGGAAGGAUUACAAAUCCCGUUCCAAGAAGGUUUGCUACAAGUGUGGUAAGCCCGGUCACUUUAUUGCUAAAUGUCCAUUAUCAAGUGACAGUGACAGGGAUAACGACAAGAAGGGCAAGAGGAGAGAAAAGAAGAGGUACCACAAGAAGAGGGGCGGCGAUGCCCACGUGUGCCGCGAGUGGGACUCCGACGAGAGCUCCACCGACUCCUCCGACGAUGAGGACACCGCCAACAUCGCCGUCACCAAGGGACUCCUCUUCCCCAACGUCGGCCACAAGUGCCUCAUGGCAAAGGACGGCAAGAGGAAGAAGGUUAAAUCCAAAUCAUCCACUAAAUAUGAGUCUUCUAGUGAUGAUAAUGCUAGUGAUGAGGAGGAUAACUUGCGUACCCUUUUCGCCAACCUUAACAUGGAACAAAAGGAAAAAUUAAAUGAAUUAAUUAGUGCUAUUCAUGAAUAGGAUGACCUUUUGGAUUCCCAAGAGGACUUCCUAAUUAAGGAAAAUAAGAAACAUGUUAAGGUUAAAAAUGCUUAUGCUCUAGAAAUAGAAAAAUGUGAGAAAUUAUCUAGUGAGCUAAGCACAUGCCAUGACACUAUUACCAACCUUAGAAAUGAAAAUGCCAAAUUAAUUGCUAAGGUUGAUUCUCAUAUUUGUAAUGUUUCAACUUCCAAUCCUAGAGAUGAUAAUGUUGAUUUACUUGCUAGGAUUGAUGAGUUGAAUGUUUCUCUUGCUAGCCUUAGAAUUGAGAAUGAAAAAUUGCUUGCUAAGGCCAAAGAUUUUGAUGUUUGCAAUGCUACUAUUUCCGACCUUAGAACUAAGAAUGAUAUAUUGCAUGCUAAGGUUGUAGAAUUAAAAUCUUGCAAAACCUCUACUUCUAUCGUUGACCACACUUCCAUUUGUACUAGAUGUAGAGAUGUUGAUGUUAAUGCUAUUCAUGAUCACAUGGCUUUAAUUAAACAACAAAAUGAUCAUAUAGAAAAAUUAGAUGCUAAAAUUGCCGAGCAUAACUUAGAGAAUGAAAAAUUUAAAUUUGCUCGUAGUAUGCUUUAUAAUGGGAGACGCCCUGGCAUCAAGGAUGGCAUCAGCUUCCAAAGGGGAGACAAUGUCAAACUUAAUGCCCCUCCUAAAAGAUUGUCUAAUUUUUAAAGGGCAAGGCUCCCAUGCCUCAGGAUAACGAGGGUUACAUUUUAUAUCCUGCCGGUUAUCCUGAGAGCAAGAUUAGGAGAAUUCACUCUAGGAAGUCUCACUCUGGCCCAAAUCAUGCUUUUAUGUAUAAGGGUGAGACAUCUAGUUCUAGGCAACCAACCCGUGCUAAGUUGCCUAAAAGGAGAACUCCUAAUGCAUCAAAUGAGCAUGAUAUUUCCUUUAAAACUUUUGAUGCAUCAUAUGUUUUGACUAACAAAUCCGGCAAGGUCGUUGCCAAGUAUGUUGGGGGCAAACACAAGAGCUCCAAAACUUGUGUUUGGGUUCCCAAAGUUCUUGUUUCUAAUGCCAAAGGACCCAAAACCGUUUGGGUACCUAAAGUCAAGAACUAAACUUUUUUUGUAGGUUUAUGCAUCCGGGGGCUCAAGUUGGAUCAUCGAUAGCGGGUGCACAAACCACAUGACAGGGGAGAAGAUGUUCUCCUCCUAUGAGAAAAAUCAAGAUCCCCAACGAGCUAUCACAUUCGGGGAUGGAAACCAAGGUUUGGUCAAAGGAUUGGGUAAAAUUGCUAUAUCUCCUGACCAUUCUAUUUCCAAUGUUUUUCUCGUAGAUUCAUUAGAUUACAAUUUGCUUUCUGUAUCUCAAUUAUGCAAAAUGGGUUACAACUGUCUUUUUACUGAUAUAGGUGUCACUGUCUUUAGAAGAACUGAUGAUUCAAUAGCAUUUAAGGGAGUGUUAGAGGGUCAGCUAUACUUGGUAGAUUUUGAUAGAGCUGAACUUGGCACUUGCUUAAUUGCUAAGACUAACAUGGGUUGGCUCUGGCACCGCCGACUGGCCCAUGUUGGGAUGAAGAAUCUUCAUAAGCUUCUAAAGGGAGAGCACAUUUUAGGACUAACCAAUGUUUAUUUUGAGAAAGACAGGGUUUGUAGCGCAUGCCAAGCAGGAAAGCAAGUUGGUGCCCAUCAUCCACACAAGAACAUCAUGACGACCGACAGGCCGCUUGAGCUAUCCACAUGGAUCUAUUCGGCCCGAUUGCCUACAUAAGCAUCAGCGGGAGUAAGUAUUGUCUUGUAAUAGUGGAUGAUUAUUCUCGCUUCACUUGGGUAUUCUUUUUGCAGGAAAAAUCUCAAACCCAAGAGACCUUAAAGGGAUUCUUGAGACGGGCUCAAAAUGAGUUCGGCUUAAGGAUCAAGAAAAUUAGAAGCGACAAUGGGACGGAGUUCAAGAACUCACAAAUUGAAGGUUUUCUUGAGGAGGAGGGCAUCAAGCAUGAGUUCUCCUCUCCCUACACGCCACAACAAAAUGGUGUAAUGGAAAGGAAGAAUAGAACUCUAUUGGACAUGGCAAGAACCAUGCUUGAUGAGUACAAGGCUUCGGAUCGGUUUUGGGCCGAGGCGGUCAACACUGCCUGCUACGCCAUCAACCGGUUAUAUCUACACCGAAUCCUCAAGAAGACAUCCUAUGAACUCCUAACCGGUAAAAAGCCCAAUAUUUCAUAUUUUAGAGUCUUUGGUAGCAAAUGUUUUAUUCUUGUUAAAAGAGGUAGAAAAUCUAAAUUUGCUCCUAAGACUGUAGAAGGCUUUUUACUAGGAUAUGAUUCAAACACAAGGGCAUAUAGAGUCUUUAACAAGUCCACUGGACAAGUUGAAGUUUCUUGUGACGUUGUGUUUGAUGAGACUAACGGCUCUCAAGUAGAGCAAGUUGAUCUUGAUGAGAUAGGUAAUGAAGAGGCUCCAUGCAUCGCGCUAAGGAACAUGUCCAUUGGGGAUGUGUGCCCUAAGGAAUCCGAAGAGCCUCCAAAUGCACAAGAUCAACCAUCCUCCUCCACGCAAGCAUCUCCACCAACUCAAAAUGAGGAUGAGGCUCAAAAUGAUGAAGAAGAAGAUCAAAGAGAUGAGCUACCUCAAGAUGACGGCAAUGAUCAAGGGGGAGAUGCAAAUAAUCAAGACAAGGAGGAUGAAGAACCAAGGCUGCCACACCUAAGAGUCCACCAAGCAAUCCAACGAGAUCACCCCGUCGACACCAUCCUCGGCGACAUUCAUAAGGGGGUAACUACUAGAUCUCGUGUUGCACAUUUUUGUGAGCAUUACUCUUUUGUUUCCUCUAUUGAGCCACACAGGGUAGAGGAAGCACUCCAAGACUCGGAUUGGGUGAUGGCGAUGCAAGAGGAGCUCAACAACUUUACUAGGAAUGAGGUAUGGCAUUUAGUUCCACGUCCUAAUCAAAAUGUUGUAGGAACCAAAUGGGUCUUCCGCAACAAACAAGAUGAGCAUGGUGUGGUGACAAGGAAUAAAGCUCGACUUGUGGCCAAGGGAUACUCCCAAGUCGAAGGUUUGGAUUUCGGUGAAACCUAUGCACCCGUAGCUAGGAUUGAGUCAAUUCGCAUAUUAUUAGCCUAUGCUACUUACCAUGGCUUCAAGCUUUAUCAAAUGGACGUGAAGAGUGCCUUCCUCAAUGGACCAAUCAAGGAAGAGGUCUAUGUUGAGCAACCUCCCGGCUUUGAAGACAGUGAGUACCCUAACCAUGUUUAUAGGCUCUCUAAGGCGCUUUAUGGGCUCAAGCAAGCCCCAAGAGCAUGGUAUGAAUGCCUAAGAGAUUUCCUUAUAGCUAAUGGCUUCAAAGUCGGCAAGGCCAAUCCUACUUUAUUCACUAAAACUCUUGACAAUGAUUUGUUUGUAUGCCAAAUUUAUGUUGAUGAUAUUAUAUUUGGGUCUACUAACGAAUCUACAUGUGAGGAAUUUAGUAGGAUCAUGACACAGAAAUUCGAGAUGUCGAUGAUGGGGGAGUUGCAGUAUUUUCUAGGAUUCCAAGUCAAGCAACUCCAAGAAGGCACCUUCAUUAGCCAAACGAAGUAUACUCAAGACAUUCUAACCAAGUUUGGAAUGAAGGAUGCUAAGCCCAUCAAGACACCCAUGGGAACCAAUGGGCAUCUCGACCUCGACACGGGAGGUAAAUCCGUCGAUCAAAAGGUAUACCGGUCGAUGAUAGGUUCAUUACUCUAUUUAUGUGCAUCUCGACCGGACAUUAUGCUUUCCGUUUGCAUGUGUGCAAGAUUCCAAUCCGACCCUAAGGAAUCUCACCUAACGGCCGUAAAACGAAUCUUGAGAUAUUUGGCUUAUACUCCUAAGUUUGGGCUUUGGUACCCUUGGGGAUCCACAUUUGAUUUGAUUGGUUAUUCAGAUGCCGAUUGGGCGGGGUGUAAGAUUAAUAGAAAGAGCACAUCGGGGACUUGCCAGUUCUUGGGAAGAUCCUUGGUGUCUUGGGCUUCAAAGAAGCAAAAUUCCGUAGCUCUUUCUACCGCCGAAGCCGAGUACAUUGUCGCAGGCCAUUGUUGCGCGCAAUUGCUUUGGAUGAGGCAAACCCUGCGGGACUACGGUUACAAAUUAACCAAAGUCCCUUUGCUAUGUGAUAAUGAGAGUGCAAUCAAGAUGGCGGAUAAUCCCGUCGAGCAUAGCUGCACUAAACACAUAGCCAUUCGGUAUCAUUUUCUUAGGGAUCACCAACAAAAGGGAGAUAUCGAGAUUUCUUACAUUAACACUAAAGAUCAAUUAGCCGAUAUCUUUACCAAGCCUCUUGAUGAACAAACUUUUAACAAACUUAGGCAUGAGCUCAAUAUUCUUGAUUCGCGCAAUUUCUUUUGCUAAAUUGCACACAUAGCUCAUUUGUAUACCUUUGAUCAUGUCUCUUUCAUAUGCUAUGACUAAUGUGUUUUUCAAGUCUAUUUCAAACCAAGUCAUAGGUGUAUUGAAAGGGAAUUGGAGUCUUCGGCGGAGACAAAGGCUUCCACUCCGUAACUCAUCCUUCUCCGUCGCUCCGCGCAUCUCUCCAUCUUUUUGGGGAGAGUUCAAAGCAAAAGGACUUCGUCUUUGGUACAAUCUUCACUCAUUUAUUUAUGACCAAAAGGGGAAGAAAGUACUUCGAGGGCUCUAAUGACUCCGUUUUUGGCGAUUCAUGCCAAAGGGGAGAAAAUAUUUGCCCAAAGCAAAAGGACCGCACCACCACCUAAUUUACCAAUUUGAGAAAAUAUUUGCCCAAAGCAAAAGGACCGCACCACCACCUAAUUUUAAAAUUGGAGAUUUUCAAUUGGUAAAUUUUAAAUUGGUAUCUUAUUGUGUUUAAAAGGGGGAGAAAGUAGUAUUUCAAAAAUGAUAUAUCAAAACCCUCUUGAACACUAAGAGGACGAUCUCAUUUAGGGGGAGUUUUGUUUAGUCAAAGGAAAAGUAUUUGAAACAGGGGAGAAAAUUUCAAAUCUUGAAAAUGCUUCGUGAAAUCUUAUUUAUUUACCUUUGACUAUUUGCAAAAGAACUUUGGAAAGGAUUUACAAAAGAAUUUGCAAAAACAAAAUCUGUGGUGCAAGCAUGGUCCAAAAUGUUGAAAAUGAAGAAACAAUCCAUGCAUAUCUUGUAAGUAUUUAUAUUGGCUCAAUUCCAAGCAACCUUUGCACUUACAUUAUGCAAACUAGUUCAAUUAUGCACUUCUAUAUUUGCUUUGGUUUGUGUUGGCAUCAAUCACCAAAAAGGGGGAGAUUGAAAGGGAAUUAGGCUUACACCUAGUUCCUAAAUAAUUUUGGUGGUUGAAUUGCCCAACACAAAUAAUUGGACUAACUAGUUUGCUCUAGUGUAUAAGUUAUACAGGUGCCAAAGGUUCACACUUAGCCAAUAAAAAGACCAAGUAUUGGGUUCAACGAAAGAGCAAAGGGACAACCGAAGGCACCUCUGGUCUGGCGCACCGGACUGUCCGGUGUGCCACCGGACAUGUCCGGUGCACCAGAGGACUCCAGCGCAAACUCGUCGCCUUCGGGAAAAUCCAGAGGCAACUCCACUAUAAUUCACCGGACUGUCCGGUGUACACCAGACAGUGUCCGGUGCUCCAAGGAAGAGCGGCCUCAGGAACUCGCCAGCUUCGGGAAACUGCAACGGCUGCUCCGCUAUAAUUCACCGGACAUGUCCGGUGUACGCCGAACUGUCCGGUGUAACUGCGGGGCAACGACUACUUCGCGCCAACGGUCACCUGCAACAACAAUUAAUGCGCGCCAGAGCGCGCAGAAGUCAGGCACGCGCGUAGUGGCACACCGGACACUCUACAGUACAUGUCCGGUGCGCCACCGGAUAUCCAGGUGGGCCCAGCGUCAGAGCUCCAACGGUCGGAACCCAACGGUUUUGGUGACGUGGCUGGCGCACCGGACAUGUCCGGUGUGCACCGGACUGUCCGGUGCACCAUACGACAGUCAGCCCCACCAAACUGCUAGUUUGGUGGUUGGGGCUAUAAAUACCCCCAACCACCCACCAUUCAUUGCAUCCAAGUUUUCCACUUCUCAACCACUUACAAGAGCUAGGCAUUCAAUUCUAGACACACUCAAGUGAUCAAAUCCUCUCCAAUUCCACACAAAGCUUUAGUGACUAGCGAGAGAGAUUUGUCGUGUUCUUUUGAGCUCUUGCGCUUGGAUUGCUUCUUUUCUUUCUCACUUGUUCUUGUGAUCAAAACUCCAUUGUAAUCAAGGCAAGAGGCACCAAUUGUGUGGUGGCCCUUGCGGGGAAGUUUUGUUCCCGUUUGAUUGAGAAGAAGAAGCUUGUCGGGGACCAUAAUUAGGGGUACCCUCAAGACUCCUAAUUCUCAGCUGGUAACCCCCAUCAGCAUAAAGCUGCUAAGGCCUGAUGGGUGCGAUUAAGUCAGGGAUCAGUCCAUUUGAGCGACUCGAUCAUGCCUCGCCCGAGCCUAGCCUCGGACAAGGGCAGCCGACCCCGGGGGAUUUCCGUCUCGCCCGAGGCCCUGCCUUCACUAAGAAGCAACCCUGACUAAAUCGCCGCACUGACCGACCAAGUCGUAGGAGCAUUUAAUGCAAAGGUGGCCUGACACCUUUAUCCUGACGCGCGCCCCCCGACAGAGCCGAAGUGAUCGCCGUCACUUCGCCGCUCCACUGACCGGCCUGACAGAAGGACAGCGCCGCCUGCGCCACUCCGACUGCGGUGCCAUUUGACAGAGUGAGGCUGACAGGCAGUCAGGCCCUGCCGAAGGCACCAUAGGAAACUCCGCUCCGCCCGACCCAGGACUCGGACUCGGGCUAAGUCCCAGAAGACGGUGAACUCCGCUCCGCCCGACCCAGGGCUCGGACUCGGGCUAAGUCCCGGAAGAUGACGAACUCCGCUCCGCCCGACCCAGGGCUCGGACUCGGGCUAAGUCCCGGAAGACGGCGAACUCCGCUCCGCCCGACCCAGGGCUCGGACUCGGGCUAAGUCCCGGAAGACGGCGAACUCCGCUCCGCCCGACCCAGGGCUCGGACUCGGGCCAAGUCCCGGAAGACGGCGAACUCCGCUCCGCUCGACCCAGGGCUCGGACUCGGGCCAAGUCCCAGAAGACGACGAACUCCGCUUCGCCCGACCCCAGGGCUCGGACUCCGCCCUAGCCUCAGCCGACGACCUCCGCCUCGCCCGACCCAGGGGCUCGGACUCGGCCUCGGCCACGGAAGACAGACUCAACCUCGGCUUCGGAGGAGCCUCCACAUCGCCCAACCUAGGGCGCAGGCCAGCCACGUCAACAGGAGGCGCCAUCAUCACCCUACCCCGAGCUGACUCGGGCCGCAGGAAACAAGACCGGCGUCCCAUCUGGCUAGCUCCGCCAGAUAGGCAAUGAUGGCGCCCCGCGUACUCUGUGACGACGGCGACUCUCAGCCCCCUUACGGAAGCAAGAGGACGUCAGCAAGGACCCAACCGCUCCGACAGUUGUCCCUCCGCCAGGCUCCAUCGCUCCUCCGACGGCCACGACAUCACACCAGCUGGGUGCCAAAAUCUCUCCGGCUGCCACGACGGCAUGUACUUAGGGCGCUAGCUCUCCUCCGCUAGACACGUAGCACUCUGCUACACCCCUCAUUGUACACCUGGAUCCUCUCCUUACGCCUAUAAAAGGAAGGACCAGGGCCCUCUUAGAGAGGGUUGGCCGCGCGGGGACGAGGACGAGACAGGCGCUCGCUUGGGGCCGCUCGCUCCCUCUCUCGCGUGGACGCUUGUAACCCCCUACUGCAAGCGCACCCGACCUGGGCGCGGGACGAACACGAAGGCCGCGGGAUUCCCACCUCUCUCACGCCGGUCUCCGGCCGCCUCGCUCUCCCCCCUUCGUGCUCGCCCUAGCGCUCGACCCAUCUGGGCUGGGGCACGCGGCGACACUCAUUCGUCGGCCCAAGGGACCCCCUGGUCUCAAAACGCCGACAGUUGGCGCGCCAGGUAGGGGCCUGCUGCGUGUUGACGAACAACUUCCCGUCAAGCUCCAGAUGGGCAGUCUCCAACAACCUCUCCAACCCGGGACGGUGCUCCGUUUCGGGAGUCUUGAGUUCAUGUCCUUCGACGGCAGCUACGACAUGAUACUCCUUCCACCGCCGCGACAACGACAAUGGCGACCGACAGCCCGCCCGCCGGCGGCGGAAUCGACGACGUCUUCCCCGCGUGGCGGAAGAACAACCUUCGAGCCCGUCCCGCCUUCUUCCCCGUCGGCGGAGGGGAAGGCAGGGCAACCAAGGCCAAGCAGGAGGCAGCGCCUCGUCGGCUGUCGAGCGAGUCGACAGCGCUGGCACCCCAACGGGGGGCACACCGGGUAUCGACUCCGCGCUUGAGACGAAGACGAGCGCCGUCUCCCCACGACACGCCAAUCCCGAGCAAGCGGACGACGCCAGCGCGCUUGCGCAAAGCUUGCUGGACGUCACCCUCGUACCUGAGACGACGGUGCAGUCAGUCCCCGACGUGACUUUAUCGCCGCUCGUCGACCAAGAGGUACCGACCGAUUCCCAUCCCACGUCAUUCGGAUUCAGCCUCAACCCGCCUAGCGACCUUGCUUUGGCGGGCGCUCUCGUAGAGGCGAGUCCAAACCCUCUGGGGUUUCGCAUGCGGUCGCCUUAGGACCGGCUGACGGACGUCUCGACCUACGGGCCCUCUGGGUUCGAGGAAGACGACGAAUCCAGCAUCUGUUGGGAUUUCUCUGGACUUGGCAACCCCAGUGCCAUGCGGGACUUCAUGACCGCAUGUGACUACUGCCUCUCCGACUGUUCCGACGGUAGCCGCAGCCUCGACGACGAGGACUGCGGCCCAAGCCGCGAAUGUUUCCACAUCGAUCUAGGGGGUCCCUCCGAAGGCAAUCAUCUUGGCAUGCCGGAGGACGGUGAUCUCCCUAGGCCAGUGCCCCGCGUUGACAUCCCACGGGAGCUAGCUGUGGUCCCCGUUCAGGCGGGGGGCCAUGACCCACAGCUCGAGCAAAUCCGCGGGGUGCAGGCCAGGCUCGACGAGGGAGCAGGAGCACUUGAGCCGAUCCACCGGGACGUCGGGCAGGCAUGGGCGGGCCAACCCCCGGCCGGAGAAAUACGUCAUCUGCCCCAGGGCUUCCAGCACCGCGUCGCCGAUGACGUCAGGGUUAGACCACCACCCGCAUCCAGUGGGGUCGGCCAGAACCUGGCUGCAGCAGCGAUGCUUCUCCGCGCGAUGCCGGAGCCAUCAACCACCGAGGGCCGGCGAAUCCAGGGGAUCUCAAGAAUCUCCUGGAAGGCACCGCGGUCCGACGGGCCGAGAGCUCUGCCUUCCGAAGGCAGGGAUACCCCUCGGAACCUCAUGCCGCGACUUCUAGAUUCAUGCGGGAAGCCUCGGUCUACACCGGGCGCACGCGCAACACCGCGCCUGCGGCUCCGGGCCGCCUCGGCAACGAGCACCAUCACCGCGACCGUCGGGCCCACCUCGACGAGAGGGUGCGUCGAGGUUACCACCCCAGGCGUGGGGGACGCUACGACAGCGGGGAAGAUCGGAGUCCCUCGCCCGAGCCACCCGGUCCGCAGGCCUUCAGCCGGGCCAUCCGACAGGCACCGUUCCAGACCCGGUUCCGACCCCCGACUACUAUCACAAAGUACUCGGGGGAGACGAGACCGGAACUGUGGCUCGCGGACUACCGUCUGGCCUGCCAACUGGGUGGAACGGACGAUGACAACCUCAUCAUCCGCAACCUCCCCCUGUUCCUCUCCGACACCGCUCGCGCCUGGUUGGAGCACCUGCCUCCGGGGCAGAUCUCCAACUGGGACGACCUAGUCCAAGCUUUCGCCGGCAAUUUCCAGGGCACGUACGUGCGCCCAGGGAAUUCCUGGGACCUCCGAAGCUGCCGGCAGCAGCCGGCAGAGUCUCUCCGGGACUACAUCCGGCGAUUCUCGAAGCAGCGCACCGAGCUGCCCAACAUCACCGACUCGAAUGUCAUCGGCGCGUUCCUCGCCGGCACCACCUGCCGCGACCUGGUGAGCAAGUUGGGUCGCAAGACCCCCACAAGGGCGAGUGAGCUGAUGGACAUCGCCACCAAGUUCGCCUCCGGCCAGGAGGCGGUCGAGGCUAUCUUCCGAAAGGACAAGCAGCCCCAGGGCCGCCCAUCGGAAGAUGCUCCCGAGGCGUCUACUCAGCGCGGCGCCAAGAAGAAAGGCAAGAAGAAGUCGCAAGCGAAACGCGACGCCGCCGACGCGGACCUUGUCGCCGCCGCCGAGUACAAGAACCCUCGGAAACCCCCCGGACGUGCCAACCUCUUCGACAAGAUGCUUAAGGAGCCGUGCCCCUAUCACCAGGGGCCCGUCAAGCACACCCUUGAGGAGUGCGUCAUGCUUCGGCGCCACUUCCACAGGGCCGGGCCACCCGCGGAGGGUGGCAGGGCCCGCGACGACGACAAAAAGGAAGAUCACCAAGCAGGAGAGUUUCCCGAGGUCCGCGACUGCUUCAUGAUCUACGGUGGGCAAGCGGCGAAUGCCUCGGCUCGGCAUCGCAAGCAAGAGCGCCGGGAGGUCUGCUCGGUGAAGGUGGCGGCGCCAGUCUACCUAGACUGGUCCGACAAGCCCAUCACCUUCGACCAAGCCGACCACCCCGACCACGUGCCGAGCCCGGGGAAAUACCCGCUCGUCGUCGACCCCGUCAUCGGCGACGUCAGGCUCACCAAGGUCCUUAUGGAUGGAGGCAGCAGCCUCAACAUCCUCUAUGCUGAGACCCUCAGGCUCCUGCGUGUUGAUCUGUCCUCCGUCCGAGCAGGCGCUGCGCCCUUCCAUGGGAUCAUUCCCGGGAAACGCGUCCAGCCCCUCGGACAACUCGACCUUCUAGUCUGCUUCGGAACGCCCUCCAACUUCCGAAGGGAGACCCUGACGUUCGAGGUGGUCGGGUUCCGAGGAACCUACCAUGCGGUACUGGGAAGGCCAUGCUACGCGAAGUUCAUGGCCGUCCCCAACUACACCUACCUGAAGCUCAAGAUGCCGGGACCCAACGGGGUCAUCACCGUCGGCCCCACGUACAAGCACGCGUUCGAAUGCGACGUGGAGUGCGUGGAGUACGCCGAGGCCCUCGCCGAGUCCGAGGCCCUCAUCGCCGACCUGGAAAGCCUCUCUAAGGAGGUGCCAGACGUGAAACGUCAUGCCGGCAACUUUGAGCCAGUGGAGACGGUUAAGGCCGUCCCCCUCGACCCCAGCGGCGACGCCUCCAAGCAAAUCCGGAUCGGCUCCGAGCUCGAUCCCAAAUAGGAAGUAGUGCUCGUCGACUUCCUCCGCGCGAACGCCGACGUCUUCGCGUGGAGUCCCUCGGACAUGCCCGGCAUACCGAGGGAUGUCGCCGAGCACUCGCUGGAUAUUCGGGCCGGAGCCCGACCCGUCAAGCAGCCUCUGCGCCGAUUCGACGAGGAGAAGCGCAGAGCGAUAGGCGAGGAGAUCCACAAGCUAAUGGCGGCAGGGUUCAUCAAAGAGGUAUUCCAUCCCGAAUGGCUUGCCAACCCUGUGCUUGUGAGAAAGAAAGGGGGGAAUGGCGGAUGUGUGUAGACUACACAGGUCUCAACAAAGCAUGUCCAAAGGUUCCCUACCCUCUGCCUCGCAUCGAUCAAAUCGUGGAUUCCACCGCUGGGUGCGAAACCCUGUCUUUCCUCGAUGCCUACUCAGGGUAUCAUCAAAUCAGGAUGAAAGAGUCCGACCAGCUCGCGACUUCUUUCAUCACGCCCUUCGGCAUGUACUGCUAUGUCAUCAUGCCGUUCGGCUUGAGGAAUGCGGGCGCGACGUACCAGCGGUGCAUGAACCAUGUGUUCGGCGAACACAUCGGUCGCACGGUCGAGGCCUACGUCGAUGACAUCGUAGUCAAGACGAGGAAAGCUUCCGACCUCCUUUCCGACCUUAAAGUGACAUUCCGAUGCCUCAAGGCGAAAGGCGUCAAGCUCAAUCCCGAGAAGUGUGUCUUCGGGGUGCCCCGAGGCAUGCUCUUGGGGUUCAUCGUCUCCGAGCGGGGCAUCGAAGCCGACCCGGAGAAGAUCGCAGCCAUCACCAGCAUGGGGCCCAUCAAGGACUUGAAAGGCGUACAGAGGGUCAUGGGAUGUCUCGCGGCUCUGAGCCGUUUCAUCUCACGUCUCGGCGAAAGAGGUCUACCUCUGUACCGCCUCUUAAGGAAGGCCGAGUGCUUCACCUGGACCCCCGAGGCCGAGGAAGCUCUCGGGAACCUGAAGGCGCUCCUCACAAAGGCGCCUAUCUUGGUGCCUCCAGCUGCCGGAGAAGCCCUCUUGGUCUACGUCGCCGCGACCACUCGGGUGGUUAGCGCCGCGAUUGUGGUCGAGAGACAGGAAGACGUGCAUGCGCUGCCCGUUCAGAGGCCAAUUUACUUCGUCAGCGAGGUACUGUUCGAAACCAAGAUCCGCUACCCACAAGUUCAGAAGCUGCUGUAUGCAGUGAUCCUGACGCGGCGGAAGUUGCGACACUACUUCGAGUCCCAUCCGGUAACUAUGGUGUCAUCCUUCCCCCUGGGGGAGAUCAUCCAGUGCCGAGAGGCCUCGGGUAGGAUUGCAAAGUGGGCGGUGGAAAUCAUGGGCGAGACAAUCUCGUUCGCCCCUCGGAAGGCCAUCAAGUCCUAGGUCUUGGCGGACUUCGUAGCCGAAUGGGUCCCCAGCUACCGACGGCUCCGAUCCAACCGGAGCUCUGGACCAUGUUUUUUGACGGGUCGCUGAUGAAGACGGGAGCCGGCGCAGGCCUGCUCUUCAUCUCGCCCCUCGGGAAACACCUACGCUAUGUGCUACGCCUCCAUUUCCCGGCGUCCAACAAUGUGGCUGAGUAUGAGGCUCUGGUCAACGGGUUGCGGAUCGCCAUCGAGCUAGGGGUCCGGUGCCUCGACGCCCGCGGUGACUCGCAGCUCGUCAUCAACCAAGUCAUGAAGAACUCCCACUGUCGCGACCCGAAGAUGGAGGCCUACUGCGAUGAGGUUCGGCGCCUGGAGGACAAGUUCUACGGGCUCGAGCUCAACCACAUCGCUCGGCGCUACAACGAGACUGUGGAUGAACUGGCUAAGAUAGCCUCGGGGCGAACAACGGUUCCCCCGGACGUCUUCUCCCAGGAUCUGCACCAACCUUCCGUCAAGAUCGACGACGCGCUCGAGCCUGAGGCGCCCUCGGCCCAGUCCGAGGUACCCUCGGCCCCGCCCGAGGUACCCUCGGCACAGCCCGAGGCACCCUCCGCUCGGCCCGAGGCGCCCUCGGUUCAGCCCGAGGUACCCUCGGCCCCCGAGGGUGAGGCGCUGCGCGUCGAGGAGGAGCGAAGCGGGGCCAUGCCUGAUCGAAACUGGCAGACCCCGUACCUGCAAUAUCUCCAACAAGGAGAGCUAACCCUCGACCGAGCCGAGGCUCGGCGGGUGGCGCGGCGCGCUAAGUCGUUCGUCUUGCUGGGCGAGGAGAAGGAGCUCUACCACCGCAGCCCCUCAGGCAUCCUCCAGCGAUGCAUCUCCGUCGCCGAGGGUCAGGAACUCCUGCGGGAGAUACACUCGGGGGCUUGCGGCCAUCAAGCAGCGCCUCGAGCCCUUGUCGGGAAUGCUUUCCGACAAGGCUUCUACUGGCCGACGGCAGUGGCCGACGCCACUAGAAUUGUCCGCACCUGCGAAGGGUGUCAAUUCUAUGCGAAGCAGACCCACCUGCCCGCUCAGGCUCUGCAGACGAUACCCAUCACCUGGCCCUUUGCUGUGUGGGGUCUGGACCUUGUCGGCCCCUUGAAGAAGGCGCCCGGGGGCUACACGCACCUGCUGGUCGCCAUCGACAAAUUCUCCAAGUGGAUCGAGGUCCGACCUCUGAACAGCAUCAGGUCCGAGCAGGCGGUGGCGUUCUUCACCAACAUCAUCCAUCGCUUCGGGGUCUCGAACUCCAUCAUCACCGACAACGGCACCCAGUUCACCGGCAGAAAGUUCUUGGACUUCUGCGAGGAUCACCACAUCCGGGUGGACUGGGCCGCCGUGGCUCAUCCCAUGUCAAAUGGGCAAGUAGAGCGUGCCAACGGCAUGAUUCUAUAGGGGCUCAAGCCUCGGAUUUACAACGACCUCAACAAAUUCGGCAAGCGAUGGAUGAAGGAACUCCCCUCGGUGGUCUGGAGCCUGAGGACAACGCCGAGCCGAGCCACGGGUUUCACGCCGUUCUUCCUAGUCUACGGGGCCGAGGCCGUCUUGCCCACAGACCUGGAAUACGGCUCCCCGAGGACGAAGGCCUACAGCGAUCAAAGCAACCAAGCUAGCCGAGAAGACUCGCUGGACCAGCUGGAAGAGGCUCGGGACAAGGCCUUACUACACUCGGCGCGGUACCAGCAGUCCCUGCGACGCUACCACGCCCGAGGGGUCCGGUCCCGAGACCUCCAGGUGGGCGACCUGGUGCUUCGGCUGCGACAAGACGCCCGAGGGAGGCACAAGCUCAUGCCCCCCUGGGAGGGACCGUUCUUCAUCGCCAAGGUUCUGAAGCCCGGAACGUACAAGCUGGCCAACAGUCAAGGCGAGGUCUACGGCAACGCUUGGAACAUCCAACAACUACGUCGCUUCUACCCUUAAGAUGUUUUCAAGUUGUUCAUAUACCUCGCACCCACGCAAAGUUUAGUCAUCAAGGAAGGGUCGGUCUCGCCUCGGCAAAGCCCGACCCUCCCUCGAGGGCUAAAAGGGGGGGAACCCCCUCUGCGUUGAAAUUUUCCUCGAAAAAGAUCUCUUCUGCCAGAAUAUCUUUCGUGCUUUUUGACUACUUCGAAAAGUGGAUCCCGAAAACGACGGAGUACACGUAAGCAGCCAAGGCUGACCGAGCCGAGGGACUCCUACGCCUCCGGGAUACGGAUACCUCACUCAUCACCUUCUGCGAUAAGUAACUCACGUUCGGAUAAGUGAUUCCGCGAACCAAACAAGUCUUCACGUUCGGAAGUUCUUCUGCCGAAGCGAUCCUUCGAGCCUUCUCGACUGAGUCGGAGACAGAGCCUCAUGGACGGGUAAAAGUGCGCGUAAGCGGCAAGGCCGACCGAGCCGAGGGACUCCUACGCCUCCGGGAUACGGAUACCUCACUCAUCACCUUCCGCGAGAAGCAACUCUCGCUCGCACAAACAUCCCUGUUGCCGACAAAAAGUCCAGAUACUCGAAACAAGAGGAAAAGAGACGCAGCUUUACAACACAGCGAGGGUGUGCGUUCUGGCCUCGGCGACCGCAGGAGGCACACGCUACAAGACAAUCUGAUCUUGCAGGCUCGGGUCUUGACGCUGGAAGGGGGCAGCAGCACCCUCGGCAUCGACGACACCUUCGGCGAGGUCCGACCUAGCCUCGGACGGCGACGCGGUCCAAGGAUCUCCGCUCUAAAGGAUGACGUCAUCGCCACACCCGGGCAAUCGCUGCCAGGGUCUUCUCCGGAAAUCUGGCCCGAGCAGGCGGCUCGGCCGGUCACCCCGGGGGCCUCGGCCAACCAUCUUCCAAGGGCGCCAGCCCGACCCGAGGCCUCGGCUGGUCAACUCCGGCGUCGGUCCCGCUAACGGACGACCCGGCUGGGCUCCGGCCAACCAGGUUUCCUUUUCGAGCCAACUCCGCCCUGUUCAUGCUGAUAUCGCUACCCCUGGCCUCGGCUCAUCAAAGAGCGGCCAAGGGGUCCCUUUAACUAAGCUAGAGAAGCCUCAGACAACAAGGCCGACCGAGCCGAGGGACUCCUACGCCUCCGGGAUACGGAUACCUCACUCGUCACCUUGACACGGGGCGAUUCACGCUUGGUGAAGCGGUUCAGACAACCAACAGGCGAGUCUUAGUGCUCGAAAAUGAGGAAAAAACACUGGCAUUCAAGGUGCCAUUACAAACGGAACUCUGGUUCCGUCCCCGCGGGUAUGAGCAACCUCGAGCCUGCGGGGCGACGAACAUCGAGAGACCCGCCAGCGACCUCUGCAGCAGCAGCCAUGGUCCCGGGUGGACGCGGCCACCGGAGGGCUCUCGUUCACGUUCCCGCUCAAGGGACGCGAACCAGCUAUUAAAGCCAAAGAGCGGGCCGCUCCCAAGCGCACCGGCAGGUCCUCGCGGCCGUCCUCGCCGCGAAUGCGAGGAAGAGGGCGGAAUGUUGCAUCCUAGCUGGGCAGCAACAGUUCGCCUUCCCCGGCAUGGCUGGAGGACGUCUCCGCCGUAAGGCUGGAAGGCGAUUGCCACCACCAGAAGCUAGAAGAAGAGGUGGCCCGCCGACCCGCGCAGGAGGUAGAGCCCCGGCUCGCCUCGCUCCCCGCCCCAGCGAGGAUGACGAACACCCUCGACGCUUAGGGCGGGAUCGAGAUCACAGCCCGGCUUGCCUCUCCCCAUCCAGGAGCUAGAGGUCACCGUCUUGGGUGACCACCAGCGGAGGGGUGCAACUGGGCUGUGUGAUGAAAAUCCUUGAAGCCGAACGAUGGCUGAAAGGUACCAACUCCCACGUAGUUGCGUUCCUCCAACGAUGAGGCGAAAAGACGGCGGGUAUCCCCAUCCGGGGGCUUGGAAGGUGGAAAGACACGAUGCAUAAGGGAGAGCGAAGACAUGGUCACCUUCCAAAGGGGGUCACCCUCCUUUUAAAGGCGACUCUCCCUACUUGUGCCCUCGACCGUCGCGGGCUGAGUCUUCUCCAACACACUCCAAGGUCCCCCCUGCAGCGCGGGGGCUGGGUCCCACACGUCAUGCAAACCGACUCAGAGCAGAAGAAGCCAAACCGCCGCGCGCGGUGCGCACGACCGCCCAGCGGUUACAAGUGACCCUCCACUUUUGCCUAGACCAACGGGCGAAGAGGCAGGCAGCCAUGCAGGUGGCAUGCAACCGCGCCAAGUGGACGCCCUUCUCCGACUCCCGACACGCCCAGCCUGGAGGCCCAGGCCCCCGCGUCGUGCAACCGGCGCGCCGACUGCUUCGUGCAUGCAACUGCACCGCCACUUGCGCCACCACCGCGCCUCCUCGACUGCGGAACCAAUACCGCGACUCGAGGCGACCCAGCGCACGACCCAGCAGCGCCAGCCUGGCGCGGCGGUCAGUGCGGCCAAAAAUGGGCCGGCGGUAAUGACGGUGGCAGGCGGGCAGGAGCAGCAGUCACGUCGUCAGCCAAGCUCACAUCCCAUCCAGGGGCAGCGAGAGAACCCUCUCUCACGGCGUGAAGACAACGCGCCCGUGUUCCGUUCCUCGAACGGCUCGCGCACGCGCAACGACCGCCCCGCCAACCACUCGCCCGUCGCAUUAACUCCGCGGCGGGACAGGCGGCGCCUCUGGCAGGAGAAGCGGGCGACGCUUCGCCUUCGCCAUAAUGACCGCGCCAGUAAAGGUACGCCGCGUCGUUCGAUUUCGUAUCCUUUUCCUUUUUUCCUCUUUCUCUCUCUCUUGCAACAGGGACCGGGAAAGGGGGAUACCCCGAAAAGGAUCCUUCCCCGUGAAGGAACCAGGCUCCGAGCCUCCCUACUGAUCAGAGGUUCGAAGGCUGGCCCCCGAAGGGUUCGACAGCCGCCUCAGAUCGCGUGGGCCUACACCACUACUGGUCAGAGGUUCGAAGGCCGGCCCCCCGAAGGGUUCACGGCCGCCUCAGGCUACUCGGGCUCCGUGCCCAUUACUGAUCAGGGGUUCGAAGGCUGGCCCCCGAAGGGUUCACAGCCGCCUCAGACGCGAGCGAGGGAUGACCAUGGGUACGUUCGAUACAUAACCAAGGCUCGGGCUGCGCUCCCGAGGUACCCUAGGACAUUUCCGAGACCAGCGGGAACGAUCUUGUAACGGAAUCCAUCAGAGGGAGGCAUCGAGCCCUCGACCCCGUCGCCAGGGGACCGGGUCCGGCGAUCACCGUAGGUCUUUGGGCGUGCCUCUGGGCCCCUAGCCGACCCUAACGACGGGGCAGGACGUCCACUCGGAUUACGCCGCUUGGCUCACCGAGACACCAUGUUCGGCGCCCAUCGAGGGCAACAAUGGCACUUUCCCCCCUCCUCCUUGCGGAAGGCCGACGCAGGGGNNNNNNNNNNNNNNNNNNNNNNNNNNNNNNNNNNNNNNNNNNNNNNNNNNNNNNNNNNNNNNNNNNNNNNNNNNNNNNNNNNNNNNNNNNNNNNNNNNNNGGCCGCUCUCGGCAACGAGCACCAUCACCGCGACCGUCGGCCCACCUCGACGAGAGGGUGCGUCGAGGUUACCACCCCAGGCGUGGGGACGCACGACAGCGGGGAAGAUCGGAGUCCCUCGCCCGAGCCACCCGGUCCGCAGGCCUUCAGCCGGGCCAUCCGACAGGCACCGUUCCAGACCCGGUUCCGACCCCCGACUACUAUCACAAAGUACUCGGGGGAGACGAGACCGGAACUGUGGCUCGCGGACUACCGUCUGGCCUGCCAACUGGGUGGAACGGACGAUGACAACCUCAUCAUCCGCAACCUCCCCCUGUUUCCUCUCCGACACGCUCGCCCUGGUUGGAGCACCUGCCUCCGGGGCAGAUCUCCAACUGGGACGACCUAGUCCAAGCUUUCGCCGGCAAUUUCCAGGGCACGUACGUGCGCCCAGGGAAUUCCUGGGACCUCCGAAGCUGCCGGCAGCAGCCGGCAGAGUCUCUCCGGGACUACAUCCGGCGAUUCUCGAAGCAGCGCACCGAGCUGCCCAACAUCAACCGACUCGAAUGUCAUCGGCGCGUUCCUCGCCGGCACCACCUGCCGCGACCUGGUGAGCAAGUUGGGUCGCAAGACCCCCACAAGGGCGAGUGAGCUGAUGGACAUCGCCACCCAGUUCGCCUCCGGCCAGGAGGCGGUCGAGGCUAUCUUCCGAAAGGACAAGCAGCCCCAGGGCCGCCCAUCGGAAGAUGCUCCCGAGGCGUCUUACUCAGCGCGGCGCCAAGAAAGAAAGGCAAGAAGAAGUCGCAAGCGAAACGCGACGCGCCGACGCGGACCUUGUCGCCGCCGCCGAGUACAAGACCCUCGGAAACCCCCCGGACGUGCCAACCUCUUCGACAAGAUGCUUAAGGAGCCGUGCCCUAUCACCAGGGGCCCGUCAAGCACACCUUGAGGAGUGCGUCAUGCUUCGGCGCCACUUCCACAGGGGCCGGGCCCACCCGCGGAGGGUGGCAGGGCCCGCGACGACGACAAAAAGGAAGAUCACCAAGCAGGAGAGUUUCCCGAGGUCCGCGGACUGCUUCAUGAUCUAACGGUGGGCAAGCGGCGAAUGCCUCGGCUCGGCAUCGCAAGCAAGAGCGCCGGGAGGUCUGCUCGGUGAAGGUGGCGGCGCCAGUCUACCUAGACUGGUCCGACAAGCCCAUCACCUUCGACCAAGCCGACCACCCCGACCACGUGCCGAGCCCGGGGAAAUACCCGCUCGUCGUCGACCCCGUCAUCGGCGACGUCAGGCUCACCAAGGUCCUUAUGGAUGGAGGCAGCAGCUCAACAUCCUCUAUGCUGAGACCCUCAGGUCCUGCGUGUGAUCUGUCCUCCGUCCGAGCAGGCGCUGCGCCCUUCCAUGGGAUCAUUCCCGGGAAACGCGUCCAGCCCCUCGGACAACUCGACCUUCUAGUCUGCUUCGGAACGCCCUCCAAACUUCCGAAGGGAGACCCUGACGUUCGAGGUGGUCGGGUUCCGAGGAACCUACCAUGCGGUACUGGGAAGGCCAUGCUAACGCGAAGUCAUGGCCGUCCCCAACUACACCUACCUGAAGCUCAAGAUGCCGGGACCCAACGGGGUCAUCACCGUCGGCCCCACGUACAAGCACGCGUUCGAAUGCGACGUGGAGUGCGUGGAGUACGCCGAGGCCCUCGCCGAGUCCGAGGCCCUCAUCGCCGACCUGGAAAGCCUCUCUAAGGAGGUGCCAGACGUGAAACGUCAUGCCGGCAACUUUGAGCCAGUGGAGACGGUUAAGGCCGUCCCCCUCGACCCCAGCGGCGACGCCUCCAAGCAAAUCCGGAUCGGCUCCGAGCUCGAUCCCAAAUAGGAAGUAGUGCUCGUCGACUUCCUCCGCGCGAACGCCGACGUCUUCGCGUGGAGUCCCUCGGACAUGCCCGGCAUACCGAGGGAUGUCGCCGAGCACUCGCUGGAUAUUCGGGCCGGAGCCCGACCCGUCAAGCAGCCUCUGCGCCGAUUCGACGAGGAGAAGCGCAGAGCGAUAGGCGAGGAGAUCCACAAGCUAAUGGCGGCAGGGUUCAUCAAAGAGGUAUUCCAUCCCGAAUGGCUUGCCAACCCUGUGCUUGUGAGAAAGAAAGGGGGAAUGGCGGAUGUGUGUAGACUACACAGGUCUCAACAAAGCAUGUCCAAAGGUUCCCUACCCUCUGCCUCGCAUCGAUCAAAUCGUGGAUUCCACCGCUGGGUGCGAAACCCUGUCUUUCCUCGAUGCCUACUCAGGGUAUCAUCAAAUCAGGAUGAAAGAGUCCGACCAGCUCGCGACUUCUUUCAUCACGCCCUUCGGCAUGUACUGCUAUGUCAUCAUGCCGUUCGGCUUGAGGAAUGCGGGCGCGACGUACCAGCGGUGCAUGAACCAUGUGUUCGGCGAACACAUCGGUCGCACGGUCGAGGCCUACGUCGAUGACAUCGUAGUCAAGACGAGGAAAGCUUCCGACCUCCUUUCCGACCUUAAAGUGACAUUCCGAUGCCUCAAGGCGAAAGGCGUCAAGCUCAAUCCCGAGAAGUGUGUCUUCGGGGUGCCCCGAGGCAUGCUCUUGGGGUUCAUCGUCUCCGAGCGGGGCAUCGAAGCCGACCCGGAGAAGAUCGCAGCCAUCACCAGCAUGGGGCCCAUCAAGGACUUGAAAGGCGUACAGAGGGUCAUGGGAUGUCUCGCGGCUCUGAGCCGUUUCAUCUCACGUCUCGGCGAAAGAGGUCUACCUCUGUACCGCCUCUUAAGGAAGGCCGAGUGCUUCACCUGGACCCCCGAGGCCGAGGAAGCUCUCGGGAACCUGAAGGCGCUCCUCACAAAGGCGCCUAUCUUGGUGCCUCCAGCUGCCGGAGAAGCCCUCUUGGUCUACGUCGCCGCGACCACUCGGGUGGUUAGCGCCGCGAUUGUGGUCGAGAGACAGGAAGACGUGCAUGCGCUGCCCGUUCAGAGGCCAAUUUACUUCGUCAGCGAGGUACUGUUCGAAACCAAGAUCCGCUACCCACAAGUUCAGAAGCUGCUGUAUGCAGUGAUCCUGACGCGGCGGAAGUUGCGACACUACUUCGAGUCCCAUCCGGUAACUAUGGUGUCAUCCUUCCCCCUGGGGGAGAUCAUCCAGUGCCGAGAGGCCUCGGGUAGGAUUGCAAAGUGGGCGGUGGAAAUCAUGGGCGAGACAAUCUCGUUCGCCCCUCGGAAGGCCAUCAAGUCCUAGGUCUUGGCGGACUUCGUAGCCGAAUGGGUCCCCAGCUACCGACGGCUCCGAUCCAACCGGAGCUCUGGACCAUGUUUUUUGACGGGUCGCUGAUGAAGACGGGAGCCGGCGCAGGCCUGCUCUUCAUCUCGCCCCUCGGGAAACACCUACGCUAUGUGCUACGCCUCCAUUUCCCGGCGUCCAACAAUGUGGCUGAGUAUGAGGCUCUGGUCAACGGGUUGCGGAUCGCCAUCGAGCUAGGGGUCCGGUGCCUCGACGCCCGCGGUGACUCGCAGCUCGUCAUCAACCAAGUCAUGAAGAACUCCCACUGUCGCGACCCGAAGAUGGAGGCCUACUGCGAUGAGGUUCGGCGCCUGGAGGACAAGUUCUACGGGCUCGAGCUCAACCACAUCGCUCGGCGCUACAACGAGACUGUGGAUGAACUGGCUAAGAUAGCCUCGGGGCGAACAACGGUUCCCCCGGACGUCUUCUCCCAGGAUCUGCACCAACCUUCCGUCAAGAUCGACGACGCGCUCGAGCCUGAGGCGCCCUCGGCCCAGUCCGAGGUACCCUCGGCCCCGCCCGAGGUACCCUCGGCACAGCCCGAGGCACCCUCCGCUCGGCCCGAGGCGCCCUCGGUUCAGCCCGAGGUACCCUCGGCCCCCGAGGGUGAGGCGCUGCGCGUCGAGGAGGAGCGAAGCGGGGCCAUGCCUGAUCGAAACUGGCAGACCCCGUACCUGCAAUAUCUCCAACAAGGAGAGCUAACCCUCGACCGAGCCGAGGCUCGGCGGGUGGCGCGGCGCGCUAAGUCGUUCGUCUUGCUGGGCGAGGAGAAGGAGCUCUACCACCGCAGCCCCUCAGGCAUCCUCCAGCGAUGCAUCUCCGUCGCCGAGGGUCAGGAACUCCUGCGGGAGAUACACUCGGGGGCUUGCGGCCAUCAAGCAGCGCCUCGAGCCCUUGUCGGGAAUGCUUUCCGACAAGGCUUCUACUGGCCGACGGCAGUGGCCGACGCCACUAGAAUUGUCCGCACCUGCGAAGGGUGUCAAUUCUAUGCGAAGCAGACCCACCUGCCCGCUCAGGCUCUGCAGACGAUACCCAUCACCUGGCCCUUUGCUGUGUGGGGUCUGGACCUUGUCGGCCCCUUGAAGAAGGCGCCCGGGGGCUACACGCACCUGCUGGUCGCCAUCGACAAAUUCUCCAAGUGGAUCGAGGUCCGACCUCUGAACAGCAUCAGGUCCGAGCAGGCGGUGGCGUUCUUCACCAACAUCAUCCAUCGCUUCGGGGUCUCGAACUCCAUCAUCACCGACAACGGCACCCAGUUCACCGGCAGAAAGUUCUUGGACUUCUGCGAGGAUCACCACAUCCGGGUGGACUGGGCCGCCGUGGCUCAUCCCAUGUCAAAUGGGCAAGUAGAGCGUGCCAACGGCAUGAUUCUAUAGGGGCUCAAGCCUCGGAUUUACAACGACCUCAACAAAUUCGGCAAGCGAUGGAUGAAGGAACUCCCCUCGGUGGUCUGGAGCCUGAGGACAACGCCGAGCCGAGCCACGGGUUUCACGCCGUUCUUCCUAGUCUACGGGGCCGAGGCCGUCUUGCCCACAGACCUGGAAUACGGCUCCCCGAGGACGAAGGCCUACAGCGAUCAAAGCAACCAAGCUAGCCGAGAAGACUCGCUGGACCAGCUGGAAGAGGCUCGGGACAAGGCCUUACUACACUCGGCGCGGUACCAGCAGUCCCUGCGACGCUACCACGCCCGAGGGGUCCGGUCCCGAGACCUCCAGGUGGGCGACCUGGUGCUUCGGCUGCGACAAGACGCCCGAGGGAGGCACAAGCUCAUGCCCCCCUGGGAGGGACCGUUCUUCAUCGCCAAGGUUCUGAAGCCCGGAACGUACAAGCUGGCCAACAGUCAAGGCGAGGUCUACGGCAACGCUUGGAACAUCCAACAACUACGUCGCUUCUACCCUUAAGAUGUUUUCAAGUUGUUCAUAUACCUCGCACCCACGCAAAGUUUAGUCAUCAAGGAAGGGUCGGUCUCGCCUCGGCAAAGCCCGACCCUCCCUCGAGGGCUAAAAGGGGGGGAACCCCCUCUGCGUUGAAAUUUUCCUCGAAAAAGAUCUCUUCUGCCAGAAUAUCUUUCGUGCUUUUUGACUACUUCGAAAAGUGGAUCCCGAAAACGACGGAGUACACGUAAGCAGCCAAGGCUGACCGAGCCGAGGGACUCCUACGCCUCCGGGAUACGGAUACCUCACUCAUCACCUUCUGCGAUAAGUAACUCACGUUCGGAUAAGUGAUUCCGCGAACCAAACAAGUCUUCACGUUCGGAAGUUCUUCUGCCGAAGCGAUCCUUCGAGCCUUCUCGACUGAGUCGGAGACAGAGCCUCAUGGACGGGUAAAAGUGCGCGUAAGCGGCAAGGCCGACCGAGCCGAGGGACUCCUACGCCUCCGGGAUACGGAUACCUCACUCAUCACCUUCCGCGAGAAGCAACUCUCGCUCGCACAAACAUCCCUGUUGCCGACAAAAAAGUCCAGAUACUCGAAACAAGAGGAAAAGAGACGCAGCUUUACAACACAGCGAGGGUGUGCGUUCUGGCCUCGGCGACCGCAGGAGGCACACGCUACAAGACAAUCUGAUCUUGCAGGCUCGGGUCUUGACGCUGGAAGGGGGCAGCAGCACCCUCGGCAUCGACGACACCUUCGGCGAGGUCCGACCUAGCCUCGGACGGCGACGCGGUCCAAGGAUCUCCGCUCUAAAGGAUGACGUCAUCGCCACACCCGGGCAAUCGCUGCCAGGGUCUUCUCCGGAAAUCUGGCCCGAGCAGGCGGCUCGGCCGGUCACCCCGGGGCCUCGGCCAACCAUCUUCCAAGGGCGCCAGCCCGACCCGAGGCCUCGGCUGGUCAACUCCGGCGUCGGUCCCGCUAACGGACGACCCGGCUGGGCUCCGGCCAACCAGGUUUCCUUUUCGAGCCAACUCCGCCCCUGUUCAUGCUGAUAUCGCUACCCCUGGCCUCGGCUCAUCAAAGAGCGGCCAAGGGGUCCCUUUAACUAAGCUAGAGAAGCCUCAGACAACAAGGCCGACCGAGCCGAGGGACUCCUACGCCUCCGGGAUACGGAUACCUCACUCGUCACCUUGACACGGGGCGAUUCACGCUUGGUGAAGCGGUUCAGACAACCAACAGGCGAGUCUUAGUGCUCGAAAAUGAGGAAAAAACACUGGCAUUCAAGGUGCCAUUACAAACGGAACUCUGGUUCCGUCCCCGCGGGUAUGAGCAACCUCGAGCCUGCGGGGCGACGAACAUCGAGAGACCCGCCAGCGACCUCUGCAGCAGCAGCCAUGGUCCCGGGUGGACGCGGCCACCGGAGGGCUCUCGUUCACGUUCCCGCUCAAGGGACGCGAACCAGCUAUUAAAGCCAAAGAGCGGGCCGCUCCCAAGCGCACCGGCAGGUCCUCGCGGCCGUCCUCGCCGCGAAUGCGAGGAAGAGGGCGGAAUGUUGCAUCCUAGCUGGGCAGCAACAGUUCGCCUUCCCCGGCAUGGCUGGAGGACGUCUCCGCCGUAAGGCUGGAAGGCGAUUGCCACCACCAGAAGCUAGAAGAAGAGGUGGCCCGCCGACCCGCGCAGGAGGUAGAGCCCCGGCUCGCCUCGCUCCCCGCCCCAGCGAGGAUGACGAACACCCUCGACGCUUAGGGCGGGAUCGAGAUCACAGCCCGGCUUGCCUCUCCCCAUCCAGGAGCUAGAGGUCACCGUCUUGGGUGACCACCAGCGGAGGGGUGCAACUGGGCUGUGUGAUGAAAAUCCUUGAAGCCGAACGAUGGCUGAAAGGUACCAACUCCCACGUAGUUGCGUUCCUCCAACGAUGAGGCGAAAAGACGGCGGGUAUCCCCCAUCCGGGGGCUUGGAAGGUGGAAAGACACGAUGCAUAAGGGAGAGCGAAGACAUGGUCACCUUCCAAAGGGGGUCACCCUCCUUUUAAAGGCGACUCUCCCUACUUGUGCCCUCGACCGUCGCGGGCUGAGUCUUCUCCAACACACUCCAAGGUCCCCCCCUGCAGCGCGGGGGCUGGGUCCCACACGUCAUGCAAACCGACUCAGAGCAGAAGAAGCCAAACCGCCGCGCGCGGUGCGCACGACCGCCCAGCGGUUACAAGUGACCCUCCACUUUUGCCUAGACCAACGGGCGAAAGAGGCAGGCAGCCAUGCAGGUGGCAUGCAACCGCGCCAAGUGGACGCCCUUCUCCGACUCCCGACACGCCCAGCCUGGAGGCCCAGGCCCCCGCGUCGUGCAACCGGCGCGCCGACUGCUUCGUGCAUGCAACUGCACCGCCACUUGCGCCACCACCGCGCCUCCUCGACUGCGGAACCAAUACCGCGACUCGAGGCGACCCAGCGCACGACCCAGCAGCGCCAGCCUGGCGCGGCGGUCAGUGCGGCCAAAAAUGGGCCGGCGGUAAUGACGGUGGCAGGCGGGCAGGAGCAGCAGUCACGUCGUCAGCCAAGCUCACAUCCCAUCCAGGGGCAGCGAGAGAACCCUCUCUCACGGCGUGAAGACAACGCGCCCGUGUUCCGUUCCUCGAACGGCUCGCGCACGCGCAACGACCGCCCCGCCAACCACUCGCCCCGUCGCAUUAACUCCGCGGCGGGACAGGCGGCGCCUCUGGCAGGAGAAGCGGGCGACGCUUCGCCUUCGCCAUAAUGACCGCGCCAGUAAAGGUACGCCGCGUCGUUCGAUUUCGUAUCCUUUUCCUUUUUUCCUCUUUCUCUCUCUCUUGCAACAGGGACCGGGAAAGGGGGAUACCCCGAAAAGGAUCCUUCCCCGUGAAGGAACCAGGCUCCGAGCCUCCCUACUGAUCAGAGGUUCGAAGGCUGGCCCCCCGAAGGGUUCGACAGCCGCCUCAGAUCGCGUGGGCCCUACACCCACUACUGGUCAGAGGUUCGAAGCCCGGCCCCCCGAAGGGUUCCACGGCCGCCUCAGGCUACUCGGGCUCCGUGCCCAUUACUGAUCAGGGGUUCGAAGGCUGGCCCCCGAAGGGUUCACAGCCGCCUCAGACGCCGAGCGAGGGAUGACCAUGGGUACGUUCGAUACAUAACCAAGGCUCGGGCUGCGCUCCCGAGGUACCCUAGGACAUUUCCGAGACCAGCGGGAACGAUCUUGUAACGGAAUUCCAUCAGAGGGAGGCAUCGAGCCCUCGGACCCCGUCGCCAGGGGACCGGGUCCGGCAGAUCACUCGUAGGUACUUUUGGGCGUGCCUCUGGGCCCCUAGCCGACCCCUAACGAACGGGGCACAGACGUCCACUCGGAUUACCCGCUUGUAGCUCACCGGAGACACCAUGUUCGGCGCCCAUCGAGGGCAACAUGGCACUUUCCCCCCCUCCUCCUUGCGGAAAGGCGACGCAGGGGCGUAUGUAAAAAAGCCGAGUCUCUCCCUGAUCGCCCUCUCGCCCUGUGCGGAGGCUCGGGGGCUGCUCUCGCAAACCCGGCUCCGGCCGAACCGUUGACAGCGUCAACAUACCAGCCCGAGAACUUGGGACCCGACCGUACACCCAGGCUACGGCCAGCUCGCAUGAGGGAACAACCAGACCAGCCGAAGCAUUACGCGAGGCAUUAAGACCUCGAAGGAGUGAAACCACUCCUCCGAGGCCUCGGGGGCUACACCCGGCGGGUGCGCUCGCGCGCACCCACCGGAACAAAAUGCAACCGAGAAAGGCUGGUCCCCUUGCAAAAAAGUGCGACGAAAGCCUCCAAGCGAGUGCUAACACUCCCUUCGAGGCUCGGGGGCUACUGUCGGGGACCAUAAUUAGGGGUACCCUCAAGACUCCUAAUUCUCAGCUGGUAACCCCCAUCAGCAUAAAGCUGCUAAGGCCUGAUGGGUGCGAUUAAGUCAGGGAUCAGUCCAUUCGAGCGACUCGAUCACGCCUCGCCCGAGCCUAGCCUCGGACAAGGGCAGCCGACCCCGGGGGAUUUCCGUCUCGCCCGAGGCCCCCCCCCCCCUCCAACGGCGAACAUAUUUCCGGCUCGCCCGAGGCCCUGCCUUCACUAAGAAGCAACCCUGACUAAAUCGCCGCACCGACCGACCAAGUCGCAGGAGCAUUUAGUGCAAAGGUGGCCUGACACCUUUAUCCUGACGCGCGCCCCCCGACAGAGCCGAAGUGACCGCCGUCACUUCGCCGCUCCACUGACCGGCCUAACAGAAGGACAGCGCCGCCUGCGCCACUCCGACUGCGGUGCCAUUUGACAGAGUGAGGCUGACAGGCAGUCAGGCCCUGCCGAAGGCACCAUAGGAAACUCCGCUCCGCUCGACCCAGGACUCGGACUCGGGCUAAGUCCCGGAAGACGGCGAACUCCGCUCCGCCCGACCCAGGGCUCGGACUCGGGCUAAGUCCCGGAAGACGGCGAACUCCGCUCCGCCCGACCCAGGGCUCGGACUCGGGCUAAGUCCCGGAAGACGGCGAACUCCGCUCCGCCCGACCCAGGGCUCGGACUCAGGCCAAGUCCCGGAAGACGGCGAACUCCGCUCCGCCCGACCCAGGGCUCGGACUCGGGCCAAGUCCCAGAAGACGACGAACUCCGCUUCGCCCGACCCCAGGGCUCGGACUCCGCCCUGGCCUCAGCCGACGACCUCCGCCUCGCCCGACCCAGGGGCUCGGACUCGGCCUCGGCCACGGAAGACAGACUCGACCUCGGCUUCGGAGGAGCCUCCACAUCGCCCAACCUAGGGCGCAGGCCAGCCACGUCAACAGGAGGCGCCAUCAUCACCCUACCCCGAGCUGACUCGGGCCGCAGGAAACAAGACCGGCGCCCCAUCUGGCUAGCUCCGCCAGAUAGGCAAUGAUGGCGCCCCGCGUACUCUGUGACGACGGCGACUCUCAGCCCCCUUACGGAAGCAAGAGGACGUCAGCAAGGACCCAACCGUUCCGACAGCUGUCCCUCCGCCAGGCUCCAUCGCUCCUCCGACGACCACGACAUCACACCAGCUGGGUGCCAAAAUCUCUCCGGCUGCCACGACGGCAUGUACUUAGGGCGCUAGCUCUCCUCCGCUAGACACGUAGCACUCUGCUACACCCCCCAUUGUACACCUGGAUCCUCUCCUUACGCCUAUAAAAGGAAGGACCAGGGCCCUCUUAGAGAGGGUUGGCCGCGCGGGGACGAGGACGAGACAGGCGCUCGCUUGGGGCCGCUCGCUCCCUCUCCCGUGUGGACGCUUGUAACCCCCUACUACAAGCGCACCCGACCUGGGCGCGGGACGAACACGAAGGCCGCGGGAUUCCCACCUCUCUCACGCCGGUCUCCGGCCGCCUCGCUCUCCCCCCUUCGCGCUCGCCCUCGCGCUCGACCCAUCUGGGCUGGGGCACGCGGCGACACUCACUCGUCGGCCCAAGGGACCCCCCGGUCUCGAAACGCCGACAAAGCUCACUCGGUCCGAGGGACCGUUUGAGAGAGGGAAAGGGUUGAAAGAGACCCGGUCUUUGUGACCACCUCAACGGGGAGUAGGUUUGCGAGAACCGAACCUCGGUAAAACAAAUCCUUGUGUCACACUCCUUAUUUGCUUGAGAUUUGUUUUGCACCCUCUCUCGCGGACUCGUUUUAUUUCUAACGCUAACCCGACUUGUAGUUGUGUUUAUAUUUGUAAAUUUCAGUUUCGCCCUAUUCACCCCCCUCUAGGCGACUAUCACAACUCCAUCCAGCAAAGAUACCAUAAACCAUAAAAUCGUGAAUAGACCACAAAAACGCGGCUCUCAGGUUGAACUUCUGUUUCUUGUAACAAACCCGGUGACGCGGCUCUCAGAGUGACAUGGCUUCCUCUAGAGCGGGCAAACCCGGUGGGGUUUUAAUAUACAAGAUCUGCUUGCUUGGCAUGAGGUAUUUGUUUGUCCCUCGUUUGCUGUUUCAGCUGCAGAGCUGUGGUUGAUUGUUCUGUUCGUCACAAGCACCAUCUAUUUAUCAUUUUCCAACGUAUACUGUGGAAGAGAACGUGGGGCGAGAUUAUUUAAACCAAACUUGGACGAUCGAUCAUAUCGAUGGACAAAGUGUUGCAUGUACUCCACCAACUGACAUUGUUUUAGUGCAUCCAAGAAGAGUGAAAACCGCGUUAUAUUACUGCGCUGGAUAACAGUACGUACUAAUCAACGAACCUCAUCAAUCAGCAACGUAAAACAAAGUAACCACAACAAUACUAGACAGCUAUAAAAAGUAUAUAGUUUUGAAUACAAUCCCCAAAGGCGCUGGAUCCAACGAAAGCAGCAUUUUUAUCCCCAAACCAAAGGCACCGGAUCCAACCAUCAUGCAGCAGUCAUCAGUCGGUCACCAAUGCAAGCUCAUGGUCGUCAUGGAUGGCCACCGCUACUUCCGGUGCCACCGCCACCGCCGCCGCCGUAUCCACCUUGGCCGCCAGAGCCAGCUCCACUCCCGCCACCGGCCCCUGUUCCACCGCUUGCAUUCCCAUACCCAUGGGCGCUGCCCACAGCGCUUCCGGCGCGUCCCACCCCGGUUCCGCUGCCAGACGACGAAUCAUCGCCGCCGGCGCCACCGCCACCGCCACGGGUGACGGCCACGACGUCGGGGCCCAGGUGGAUCCCGACUCCUCCUCCACCGCCAGCGCCGACACCCACGCCGCCGCCGUUGCUGGUACUGACGACGACGGCGCCGCCUCCGGCGACGCCGAUCGCGACGUCCACUCCGUCGUUGCCGACGUGGAUGCCGACGCCGAGACCAGCUCCCCCGCCCGCGCUCGAGCCACCUCCGGAGCUGCUCGUGCCGGCGCCGGCGCCGCCGCCGAACCCGACGUCGGUGUCCGACCCGUUGUGCGAGACGGUCCAGCCGAAACCGUGCCCGCUCCCGGAGCCACGGCUGCUGCCGCCACGGCCAGGCUUCUUCCACGGUAGCAGUGGCCACGAGAGCUUGCUGCUGCUGGCGGCGGCGGCGGCGGCGUCGACGGCGCUAGAGCUCCUCGUGCCAGUGCUGCUGCCAUGGCUACGACUAGGAGGGAGGAAAUGCCUUGCGUUGGCACAGUGAGGGAGAGUAUUAGUGGCCGCCAUGCAUGCAAGCGCGAGGAAGAGGAAGGUAGUAGAGGCAUCCAUUCUGUUUCGAUUCUAGCUAGCUAGCUAGUGCUGUUACGAAUGGUACUACGCACGCUGCUGGUGUUUAUGUAGUGUGGGUUGGUCACGGUAGCCCUAGAAUAUACUCCUGUACAGUACUGACUUGAGUACUACUGCUGGUUGUUAUUAGGCCCAAAUCUAGAGGCAAGAUAGCAAGCUGCAUGCAUGGAUAGCUUGCUUGUGGAGGAUGCAUGAACCCCAAUUACACGGCAUGUUUACGUAACGUGCGUUGACCAUUCAUUUACACACGCUGUUAGUGAAACGUGUCCGGAUUUUAAGUUCAGGCGCAUGGACACUAUUAGGAUGCUUUUGGUUGCAAUGACAGUACGAAACCGGAUGGAACGACGAUCACUCAAAUAAGGUUGUUUAGUUUAGAGUCAAGGGUUGGGACAUGACUAUACAAUAUUGUCUCCAGUUAUCCAUUAGAAUUGGAGGGACAAGAGAGGACGUUCAUAUCCUUAGUGUGUGUUUGGUUGCGGGACAGCCAGAACAUAGACAAGUGAGAUUUAAAGUUUGUAAUAGAUCAAGCACUCAAACCUACUAACAAGGCCCUUACUCCUCCAUACAUAAACAAGUGGGAUUCAAUGUUUCGAACUUAGUAAAAAGGCCCUUACCCCUCUAUCCAUUGAUACUAGUCGGUUACCCGUGCGUAGCGGCGGCUUACAACAAUACCCAUAUAAACUAUCCACCAAAAAAAUUCAAGAUUUUUUAUUGAUUGUCUUCACUCUCUGUAUAAUAUUUUUUUGAUUUGGCUAACUGAUGUUAUUAUUUACUCCAUCCAAUAUGUCUUGGUAUAACACGGCCAAUGAAGUGAGCGAUUAGAAGAGAGUUCAUAACGGCUGACUAAACGAACAAAGAUUAUAAAAUGACAUAAUUCCACCAUACAGAGACCAAAUAAGACUGUCUCCAGCAACGUCCUCUAUAUCCGUCCUUUACAGUCUUCUCUAAAAGAUUCCAUCUCCUAUAUCUACUUUCUCUCCAACAACGUCCUCUAAAUCACGUCCUCUAUAUGUAAAUACCUAUAUUAAAGACAUUUUUUAUUUUUUAAUUUUUGUACAUACAUAUUUGUCAUACUCUCAAAUAUAUUGUACAUAUUUAGUUUUAUUAAACCGGUUGUUUAAAGUAUUCAAAUAGAUAGAGAACCGUUUAGAGAAACUCUAUAUAUAGAGGAUCCAGCAGUGUUCUCUAAAUUUAGAGGACCAUUUAGAGGACGCUGCUGGAGUGAGUAGAGAACGUCCUUGUCCUCUAAAUUUAGGGUACAGGACUCUUAGAGCUCCUUGUUGGAGCUAGUCUUAUAAGAGAAAGUUUGCGAGCUCAAGUUUCUAAAAUAAGUGACAUGAACUCAAACUUAUAAAAAAGAUAGAUCAAAAUAUGGAGUGGUUGCUAAGUCAGGCAUCAAUAAAAACUAGAUGCGCUCCAUAUAAAUUAUGCUACUUCGUAGCAAUUACUAACGUUUAAAACCAAUAAAUAACCUUUCAUUUUACUGUUAGUGUGACAAAUCAUUAUUGCUCUAUCCAAUUCAGCAACCUCAAAGACCAUGGAGUCUAUUGCGCCAAUGUGGUCUCAGAAACGAUCUAAUGCUUGCAAGAGCCAAGAACGUCAUGUCAUGCUUGGGCUGUAGCCUCGGCCCGUAGUGCUGGUCCGGCCCGACACGAUUUUUUUUAUUUUACAAAAAAACAUAUAUGCAUAUUUAUAAUUUAUAUUCAAUAUUAAAAACAUAUGAGCAAGAUGUUAUACUGGUUAGACAGCUUUACCCGGUGUCUCUCGCCCUUCUUUCAUCAGGGCAUGGGUUCGAACUCCACCUUCUACACUGUUUUUUAACAUUUUAUGCUGAUUUAAUCAAAUGGGUCGACGGGCUAACGGGCUGAUCCGACACAGUCAGCAGACCGGCAUGACGUGCCUGGCCCAGAGUUGUGGCCCGUGGGCGUCUGGCCCGUGUCGGACCGCCGUUUGACUAUCUAUAGGCGUGCAGCGAAUUAAUUUAAAAUAACUGUGAGGGGUUAUUUGUAAAAAGAUGACACAUGACGACCAUUGAAACUAACGCUUUAAUUAUAGUAUAGAUAAGUGGGGGAUUCAAAGUUUAUACUAGAUCAAAGCACUUCUAAGGAUCGAGCCCCAAUCCUAUAGGGUGUGCCUGGGAUAACUCAAAGUGUUCAAGAUCUAGAAAAAAUAGCUCUAGAUCCAACUUGUCUAGCUGAAAACCUCAACUUCAUAAAACUUGAAGCACCAAAAAUCUAGAUAUCUUAGCCAAAUCCAUGGAUUUUCAUAGAGCACCUCAAGAAAUACUCCAAACACUCAUGGAUAUGUGGAGUUGCCCAAUAGCAUCCACCUUUGUGCGUUCUUAAGUGAAGGAGAAGAGAGAGGAGUAAAUAUAUUUUUUCACUGACAUGUGGGUCCUACAUAUUGCUAUUGGGUCACAAUUAGUUGUCUAUUCACUACACGACGGUUGAUCUUUAGCGACCCUUAUUAGGUACCAACUGUUGGUUGCUAAAGGUUAGGGACCGACGGUCAGUCGCUAAAUCUUUUUGUAGCAACGGUCGGUUGGUCGCUAAAAGUCUAAAAAUUUAACAACUUAUGGUUGGUCGAUAUAGAUGUCGUCGGGGACUAGCGGUGGGUCGCUAUAGAGAAAGGAUCACUAUCAAAUCUUAUAGCCUGAACGUACCUGUAGAUGUUAGUGACUAAAAAUUAAUUAAAACAAGUAAACAUUGAUCGCUAAAUUGUAGUAAAGAAAAAAAGAAUUGUAGAAAAGAAAAAAAGAAUUAUGGAAAAGAAAAUGAAUUGUAAAAAAAGAUUUUUAAGGUUUUGAACCUUGAAUCUGUUGACUCAAACAUGAAUGACAUAACCAACUAAUUCCCACCCUAUUCUCCCAUCCAAUGCGCCAGCCGGCCAGCCCCGUGGGCUGUGGGUCGUAACCCAGUGUCCCAGCCUCUCGAGUCUUGUUGCCUUCUCCUAUCCGGCAUCCUACGACCUGCAUCCAGCAUUCCAGAUUUCCAUCUAUCCUAAUUCCUAAGUCCUAACCCUAGGCGCCAGGUGCCCUUGUCCGCCGCGAGUCUGCGACCCGCCGUCCGCCGGCCGUUGCCGUUGCUGAUUGCUGUCCGCGGUCCGCCCAGGCAGUUGCUGCCGUCUACCAGGCGCCCUACGCGGCUACACUCAGUGGCCCAGGCCGAGCGGCUGACCACUGAGGUGCUGGCUGCUGAUGGACGUGGCCGCGUGGUGCUGACCGGCUCAGGCGCUGAGGUGCAGAGUAGGCCGAGCGGCUGAGGUGCUGACGGAAGCUAAACUUUUUGUGGUGUGUUCCUACACUAUGUAGACCUACAAGUACCAUUUUGGUACAAUUAUAAAAGUGUUUUUUAUAACUAUUAGAUUUAGUUCGUUUAUUUGAAUUUCUUCAGAAAAUUCAUAUUUGAACUGCAGGUCACUCGAAACUUGGGAAAUCGUGCAUGCAAAAAUGAUACCCGUCCUAUUUAGCAUAAGUUACGACCGAUUUCAGGAGCGGAUCAGAAACUUCGAGCAACAUGCUCACUAAACAUGGUCAUGAACUUGCCAUCCACAUGUUUAAAAAUUGUAUAAAACACAAACAAAGUCAGAAAAUCAUGAAACUUGUCCACGUGUCAUGAUAUCAUAUAUACAGGUUAUGAUAAAAAAUUGAGAAUGUUUGGACAAAGUUGUGAGACACUAUGUGUAGAAACCUAAGAGAACUACACAUGAAAUCAUAGAGUUUAAAUGUGGAUCUCUUAGAUUUGUACACAUAGCGCGUCAUAGUUUUCUCGAAAUUUUUUCAUUUUUUUAUCACAGCCUGUACAUAUGAUAUUAUGACACGUGGACAAGUUUCAUGAUUUUCUGACUUUGUUUGUGUUUUAUACAAUUUUUAAACAUUUGGAUGGCAAGUUCACGACCAUGUUUAGUGAGCAUGUUGCUCGAAGUUUCCGGUCCGCUCCUGUAAUCGGUCGUAACUUAUGCUAAGUAACAUGAAUAUCAUUUUUGCAUGCACGGUUUUCCAAGUUUCGAGUGACCUGUAGUUCAAAUCUGAAUUUUCCGAAGAAAUUCAAAUAAACGAACUAAAUCUACUAACGAUUGAAAACUCUGUUAUAAUUGUCCACAAAUGAUAAAUAUAGGUCUACAUAGUGUAGGAACAUACCACAAAAAGUUUGGGAGACAAAAUAAAAAAAAAAUAAAAAUAUCUUUGCCGAGUGUCUAGAGAAGACACUCGGCAAAGCGUCCUUUGCCGAGUGCCCAAUAUGUGGCACUCGGCAAAGACCGACGGCCGUCAGCUGUAGACGGCCGCUAACGGCCCUUUGCCGAGAGCCGUCUUUGCCGAGUGUUUGACUCUCGGCAAAGCAGUCUUUGCCGAGUGCUGGGCUGUGCCGAGUGUCCCGCGCUCGGUAAAUAAGACCUUUACCGAGCGUAGGACUUUGCCGAGUGCCCGAUAAAAAGCACUCGGCAAAGAGCCGAAUUCCGGUAGUGUACAGGCCGAGCGACUGGUGCUAGCCGGCUGACGGAAGCUACAAGCCGAGCAGUUGACAGAAGCUACAGGUCGAGCGGCUGAGGUGCAGCAUCGAGAUCCAGUUGGCCUUCUCUGUCCCUCUGGUAAAUUUGUGUUUCGAUUUGAAGUUUUGGACAAAUUGCUUGUAGGGAUUUGGACAGAAUUAUUGUUUGGUGCUAAAAUUAUUAUUUGAGGUUGUAGGAAUGUUAAAUUGUGAUAAAUUUCUGUUAGAAUGUUGUUGGAAUGUUGCUGAAAUUUUAGUGGACGGGCGGGUAAUGGAUAUCCGUUGGAUAACGGAUACCCGGCGGGUACGGGUACGGAUAUAGAUCCGUACCCACGAGCGUAAAUGGGUAUGGGUAUGGGUUUGGUUUUAUCUCGUGGGUAUGGAUACGCGAACCAUAUAUCCGCGUUCUACCCACCCGAUUGCCAUCCCUACACAAACCCACGGCGCCGGCCCCCUCCUCUCUCUUGCGCAAGCCCCACUGCGCUGCUCUGCACAAGCCGCCAGUGCCCAGUGCAGGCACACCUAGGUGAUCUAAGUUAUUAAUCCUUGUCAUAACAUGUCUAUUUUUUGUAAUCAAAGCUUCCUUUCUCCUGGGUUGGUUUAUUUACUUUAAAAGUAGUUAUGAAUUGUUUUUUCAGGACGUGUUAGGAAAUAGGCAAGGAAUCUUCGCUAUUCAGCUGGUAAUCAUCUAUGAUCCUCUAAAAUCGAUAUUUCUUUCUCAUGUGCAUAUGCUCUAUACCUCUUUAGAAAGUUUGUGUGGUGAUUUAUUUCUUUUUAAUAUUGCUUGUAUGUUUAUUUCAUGGUUUGUUUAUGUAUGGACAUGACUAUAGUAUGCAACUGUUGUUCUUUGUGCUUAUAUGAUAUUAGAUUCGAGUUGAAAGUCGUUUCAAAUCCUACAUAAAGAGUAUGGAUAAAUCAUGGAUCACAAGUGAGGCUAGGUACAAAGCAACUUUUCAUAGCAACUCUUAUGUUUUUCUAUAGUUAUAUUGAUAUGUAACAUAGGAACUGUAUGUAGGGAGACAAAGGUUUAUAAACAAGGGGUGAAUGUUUUUCUAGCUUUUGCGUUUAGACAUUCAACAAUAGGAAACAAGAUACUAUGCCCUUGCAAGAAGUGUGUUAACUCAUUUUGGAGAGAGGUGAUAGUCGCCUAGAGGGGGGGGUGAAUAGGGCGAAACUGAAAUUUACAAAUAUAAACACAACUACAAGCCGGGUUAGCGUUAGAAAUAUAAACGAGUCCGAGAGAGAGGGCGCAAAACAAAUCCCAAGCGAAUAAGCAAGUGAGACACGGAGAUUUGUUUUACCGAGGUUCGGUUCUUGCAAACCUACUCCCCGUUGAGGAGGCCACAAAGGCCGGGUCUCUUUCAACCCUUCCCUCUCUCAAACGGUCCCUCGGACCGAGUGAGCUUCUCUUCUCAAAUCAAAGCCGGGAACAAAACUUCCCCGCAAGGGCCACCACACAAUUGGUGCCUCUUGCCUUGAUUACAAUGGAGUUGUGAUCUCAAGAACAAGUGAGAAAGAAAAGAAGCAAUCCAAGCGCAAGAGCUCAAAUGAACACGGCAAAUCACUCUCACUAGUCACUAGGGCUUUGUGUGGAAUUGGAGAGGAUUUGAUCUCUUUAGUGUGUCUAGAAUUGAAUGCUAGAGCUCUUGUACUAGUUGAGAAGUGGAAAACUUGGAUGCAAUGAAUGGUGGGGUGGUUGGGGUAUUUAUAGCCCCAACCACCAAACUUGACCGUUGGCUGGAGGCGUCUGCUCGAUGGCGCACCGGACAGUCCGGUGCACACCGGACAGUCCGGUGCCCCUGCCACGUCAUCACUGCCGUUGGAUUCUGACCGUUGGAGCUUCUGACUUCUGGGCCCUCCUGGGUGUCCGGUGCACACCGGACAUGUACUGUUUGAUGUCCGGUGCACCGGUAUGGGCAUGUCUGACGUCUGCGCGCACUGCGCGCGCAUUAAAUGCACCGCAGGGAGCCGUUGGCGCCGAAAAGAGCCGUUGCUCCGUUGGUACACCGGACAGUCCGGUGCACACCGGACAGUCCGGUGAAUUUUAGCGGAGCGGCUGCCACGCGAACCCGAGGCUGGCGAGUUCCGGAGACCGCGCUUUCUUGGAGCACCGGACAUGUCCGGUGCACACCGGACAGUCCGGUGAAUUAUAGCGCGCCGGCUUCCGAGAAUUCCCGAGAGUGAAGAGUUGGAGUUGGAGUCCUCUGGGCGCACCGGACACUGUCCGGUGUACACCGGACAGUCCGGUGCCUUCAGCCAGAGGUGCCUUCGGUUGCCUCGUUGCUCCUUUGUUGAAUCCAAAACUUGGUCUUUAUAUUGGCUAAGUGUGAACCUUUUGCACCUGUAUAAUCUACACACUUGGGCAAACUAGUUAGUCCAAUUAUUUGUGUUGGGCAAUUCAACCACCAAAAUUAUUUAGGAACUAGGUGUAAGCCUAAUUCCCUUUCAAUCUCCCCCUUUUUGGUGAUUGAUGCCAACACAAACCAAAGCAAACAGAGAUGUGCAUAAUUGAACUAGUUUGCAUAAUGUAAGUGUAAAGGUUGCUUGGAAUUGAGCCAAUAUAACUACUUACAAGAUAUGCAUGGAAUGUUUCUUUCUUUAUUUAGCAUUUUUGGGCCACGUUUGCACCACAUGUUUUGUUUUUGCAAAUUCUUUUUGUAAAUCCAUUUCAAAGAGCUUUUGCAAAUAGUCAAAGGUAAAUGAAUAAGAGUUUGUAAAGCAUUUUCAAGAUUUGAAAUUUUCUCCCCCUGUUUCAAAUGCUUUUCUUUUGACUUAACAAAACUCCCCCUAAAAGAGAUCCAUCUCUUAGUGUUCAAGAGGGUUUUGAUAUACCAUUUUUGAAAUACUACUUUCUCCCCCUUUUGAACACAAUAGGAUACCAAAUGAUAAAUACUUUUGGAAAGCACUAAGUUUUUGAAUUUGGUGGUGGUGGUGCGGUCCUUUUGCUUUGGGCUCAUUUCUCCCCCUUUUUGGCAUGAAUCGCCAAAAACGGAACCAUUAGAGCCCUCGAAGUACUAUCUUCCUCUUUGGUCAUAAGUAAAUGAGUUAAGAUUAUACCAAAGACGAAAUCCGGUCCUUUUGCUUUGGACUUUUACUUUCUCCCCCAAAGACAAGGUCCUUUUCUUGGAGCGAUGGCGAAGGAUGAGUUACGGAGUGGAAGCCUUUGUCUUCGCCGAAGACUCCAAUUCCCUUUCAAUAUACCUGUGACUUGGUUUGAAAUAGACUUGAAAACACAUUAGUCAUAGCAUAUAAAAGAGAUAUGAUCAAAGGUAUUCAAAUGAGCUAUGUGUGCAAGCUAGCAAAAGAAAUUUCUAGAAUCAAGAAUAUUGAGCUCAUGCCUAAGUCUGGUAAAAGAUUGUUCAUCAAGUGGCUUGGUAAAGAUAUCGGCUAAUUGAUCUUUAGUAUUAAUGUAAGAAAUCUCGAUAUCCCCCUUUUGUUGGUGAUCCCUAAGAAAAUGAUACCGAAUGGCUAUGUGCUUAGUGCGGCUAUGGUCGACGGGAUUGUCGGCCAUUUUGAUUGCACUCUCAUUAUCACAUAGCAAAGGGACUUUGGUUAAUUUGUAACCGUAGUCCCGCAGGGUUUGCCUCAUCCAAAGCAAUUGCGCGCAACAAUGACCUGCGGCAAUGUACUCAGCUUCGGCGGUGGAAAGAGCGACCGAAUUUUGCUUCUUUGAAGCCCAAGACACCAAGGAUCUUCCCAAGAACUGGCAAGUCCCCGAUGUGCUCUUCCUAUUGAUUUUACACCCCGCCCAAUCGGCAUCCGAAUAACCAAUCAAAUCAAACGUGGAUCCCCGAGGGUACCAAAGCCCAAACUUAGGUGUGAAAGCCAAAUAUCUCAAGAUUCGUUUUACGGCCGUAAGGUGGGAUUCCUUAGGGUCGGAUUGGAAUCUUGCACACAUGCAAACGGAAAGCAUAAUGUCCGGUCGAGAUGCACAUAAAUAAAGCAAUGAACCAAUCAUCGACCGGUAUACCUUUUGAUCCACGGACUUACCUCCCGUGUCGAGGUCGAGAUGCCCAUUAGUCCCCAUGGGUGUCUUGAUGGGUUUGGCAUCCUUCAUCCCAAACUUGGUUAGAAUGUCUUGAGUGUACUUCGUUUGGCUAAUGAAGGUGCCCUCUUGGAGUUGCUUGACUUGGAAUCCUAGAAAAUACUUCAACUCCCCCAUCAUCGACAUCUCGAAUUUCUGUGUCAUGAUCCUACUAAACUCUUCACAUGUAGACUCGUUAGUAGACCCAAAUAUAAUAUCAUCAACAUAAAUUUGGCAUACAAACAAGUCAUUUUCAAGAGUUUUAGUAAAGAGUGUAGGAUCGGCCUUGCCGACUUUGAAGCCAUUAGCAAUAAGGAAAUCUCUUAGGCAUUCAUACCAUGCUCUUGGGGCUUGCUUGAGCCCAUAAAGCGCCUUAGAGAGCUUAUAGACAUGGUUAGGAUACUCACUGUCUUCAAAGCCAGGAGGUUGCUCAACAUAGACCUCUUCCUUGAUUGGUCCGUUGAGGAAGGCACUUUUCACGUCCAUUUGAUAAAGCUUAAAGCCAUGGUAAGUAGCAUAGGCCAAUAAUAUGCGAAUUGACUCAAGCCUAGCUACGGGUGCAUAGGUUUCACCGAAAUCCAAACCUUCGACUUGUGAAUAUCCUUUGGCCACGAGUCGAGCUUUGUUUCUUGUCACCACACCAUGCUCAUCUUGCUUGUUGCGGAAGACCCAUUUGGUUCCUACAACAUUUUGGUUAGGACGUGGAACUAAAUGCCAUACCUCAUUUCUAGUGAAGUUGUUGAGCUCCUCUUGCAUCGCCACCACCCAAUCCGAAUCUUGAAGUGCUUCCUCUACCCUGUGUGGCUCAAUAGAGGAGACAAAAGAGUAAUGUUCACAAAAAUGAGCAACACGAGAUCUAGUGGUUACCCCCUUAUGAAUAUCGCCGAGGAUGGUGUCGACGGGGUGAUCUCGUUGAAUUGCUUGGUGGACUCUUGGGUGUGGCGGCCUUGGUUCUUCCUCAUCCUCCAUUUCUUGAUCAUUUGCAUCUCCCCCUUGAUCAUUGCCAUCAUCUUGAGGUGGCUCAUCUUCUUGAUUUUGCCCUUCAUCAACGUGAGCCUCAUCCUCAUUUUGAGUUGGUGGAGAUGCUUGCAUUGAGGAGGAUGGUUGAUCUUGUGCACUUGGAGGCCUUUCGGAUUCCCUAGGACACACAUCCCCAAUGGACAUGUUCCUUAGUGCGAUGCACGGAGCCUCUUCAUUACCUAUUUCAUCAAGAUCAACUUGCUCUACUUGAGAGCCGUUAGUUUCAUCAAACACAACGUCACAUGAGACUUCAACUAGUCCAGUGGACUUGUUAAAGACCCUAUAUGCCCUUGUGUUUGAGUCAUAACCAAGUAAAAAGCCUUCUACAGUUUUAGGAGCAAAUUUAGAUUUUCUACCUCUUUUAACAAGAAUAAAGCAUUUGCUACCAAAAACUCUAAAGUAUGAAAUGUUGGGCUUUUUACCGGUUAGGAGUUCAUAUGAUGUCUUCUUGAGGAUUCGGUGAAGAUAUAACCGAUUGAUGGCGUAGCAGGCGGUGUUGACCGCUUCGGCCCAAAACCGGUCCGGUGUCUUGUACUCAUCAAGCAUGGUUCUUGCCAUGUCCAAGAGAGUUCGAUUCUUCCUCUCCACUACACCAUUUUGUUGAGGUGUGUAGGGAGAAGAGAACUCAUGCUUGAUGCCCUCCUCCUCAAGAAAGCCUUCAAUUUGAGAAUUCUUGAACUCCGUCCCGUUGUCGCUUCUUAUUUUCUUGAUCCUUAAGCCGAACUCAUUUUGAGCCCGUCUCAAGAAUCCCUUUAAGGUCUCUUGGGUUUGAGAUUUUUCCUGUAAAAAGAAUACCCAAGUGAAGCGAGAAUAAUCAUCCACUAUUACAAGACAAUACUUACUCCCGCCGAUGCUUAUGUAAGCAAUCGGGCCGAAUAGAUCCAUGUGGAGUAGCUCAAGCGGCCUGUCGGUCGUCAUGAUGUUCUUGUGUGGAUGAUGGACUCCAACUUGCUUUCCCGCCUGGCAUGCGCUACAAAUCCUGUCUUUCUCAAAAUGAACAUUUGUUAAUCCUAAAAUGUGCUCUCCCUUUAGAAGCUUAUGAAGAUUCUUCAUCCCAACAUGGGCUAGUCGGCGGUGCCAGAGCCAACCCAUGUUAGUCUUAGCAAUUAAGCUUGUGUCGAGCUCAGCUCUAUCAAAAUCUACUAAGUAUAGCUGACCCUCUAACACACCCUUAAAUGCUAUUGAAUCAUCACUUCUUCUAAAGACAGUGACACCUACAUCAGUAAAAAGACAGUUGUAGCCCAUUUGACAUAAUUGUGAAACAGAAAGCAAGUUGUAGUCUAAAGAAUCUACAAGAAAAACAUUGGAAAUAGAAUGGUCAGGAGAUAUAGCAAUUUUACCCAAUCCUUUGACCAAACCUUGAUUUCCAUCCCCGAAUGUGAUAGCUCGUUGGGGAUCUUGGUUUUUCUCAUAUGAGGAGAACAUCCUUUUCUCCCCUGUCAUGUGGUUUGUGCACCCGCUGUCGAGUAUCCAACUUGAGCCCCCGGAUGCAUAAACCUACAAAACAAUUUUAGUUCUUGACUUUAGGUACCCAAACGGUUUUGGGUCCUUUGGCAUUAGAAACAAGAACUUUGGGUACCCAAACACAAGUCUUGGAGCCCUUGUGUUUGCCCCCAACAAACUUGGCAACUACUUUGCCGGAUUUGUUAGUAAGCACAUAAGAAGCAUCAAAAGUUUUAAAUGAAAUGGCAUGAUCAUUUGAUGCAUUAGGAGUUUUCUUUCUAGGCAACUUGGCACGGGUUGGUUGCCUAGAGCUAGAUGUCUCACCCUUAUACAUAAAAGCAUGAUUAGGACCAGAGUGAGACUUCCUAGAAUGAAUUUUCCUAAUUUUGCUCUCGGGAUAACCGGCAGGGUACAAAAUGUAGCCCUCGUUAUCCUGAGGCAUGGGAGCCUUGCCCUUAACAAAGUUAGACAAGUUCUUAGGAGGGGCAUUAAGUUUGACAUUGUCUCCCCUUUGGAAGCCAAUGCCAUCCUUGAUGCCAGGGCGUCUCCCAUUAUAGAGCAUACUUCUAGCAAAUUUAAAUUUUUCAUUUUCUAAGUUAUGCUCGGCAAUUUUAGCAUCUAAUUUUGCUAUGUGAUCAUUUUGUUGUUUAAUUAACGACAUGUGAUCAUGAAUAGCAUUAACAUCAAUAUUUCUACAUCUAGUACAAAUAGAUACAUGCUCAACAAUAGAUGUAGAGGGUUUGCAAGAUUUUAAUUCUACAACCUUAGCUUGUAAUAUGUCAUUUUUAGUUCUAAGGUCGGAAAUAGUAGCAUUGCAAACAUCAAAAUCUUUAGCCUUAGCAAUUAAAUUUUCAUUCUCUAAUCUAAGGCUAGCAAGAGAUACAUUCAAUUCAUCAAUCUUAGCAAGCAAGUCAACAUUAUCAUCUCUAAGAUUGGGAAUUGAAACAUUACAAACAUGUGAAUCAACCUUAGCAUUUAAGAUAGCAUUUUCAUUUCUAAGGUUGUCAAUCAUCUCACGACAAGUGCUUAGCUCACUAGAUAAUUUUUCACAUUUCUCAAUUUCAAGAGCAUAAGCCUUUUUAACCUUAACAUGUUUUUUGUUUUCUUUAAUUAGACAAUCCUCUUGGGAAUCCAAAAGGUCAUCCUUUUCAUGAAUAGCACUAACCAAUUCAUUCAAUUUUUCCUUUUGAGCUAUGUUAAGGUUGGCAAAAAGGGAACGCAAAUUAUCUUCCUCAUCACUAGCAUUGUCAUCACUAGAGGAUUCAUAUUUAGUGGAGGAUUUAGAUUUAACCUUCUUUUUGCCGUCCUUUGCCAUGAGGCACUUGUGGCCGACGUUGGGGAAGAGAAGCCCCUUGGUGACGGCGAUGUUGGCGGCGUCCUCGUCGUCGGAGGAGUCGCUUGAGCUCUCGUCGGAGUCCCACUCGCGACAAACAUGGGCAUCGCCGCCCUUCUUCUUGUAAUACCUCUUCUUCUCCUUUCUUCUCCCCUUCUUGUCGUCGCCUCGGUCACUGUCACUAGAUAUAGGACAUUUAGCAAUAAAAUGACCGGGCUUACCACACUUGUAGCAAACCUUCUUGGAGCGGGACUUGUAAUCCUUCCCCCUCCUUUGCUUGAGGAUUUGGCGGAAGCUCUUGAUGACGAGCGCCAUUUCCUCAUUGUCAAGCUUGGAGGCGUCUAUGGGUUGUCGACUUGGUGUAGACUCCUCCUUCUCCUCCGUUGCCUUGAAUGCAACGGGUUGAGCUUCGGAUGUGGUGGCAUCAUCAAGCUCGUUGAUCUUCCUCGAGCCUUCGAUCAUGCACUCAAAACUUACAAAAUUCCCGAUAACUUCCUCGGGGGUCAUUUUAGUAUAUCUAGGAUUACCACGAAUUAAUUGAACUUGAGUAGGGUUAAGGAAAAUAAGUGAUCUUAGAAUAACCUUAACCACCUCGUGGUCAUCCCACUUUACGCUCCCGAGGUUGCGCGCUUGGUUCACCAAGGUCUUGAGCCGAUUGUACAUGUGUUGUGGCUCCUCCCCUUUGCGAAGCCGGAACCGACCGAGCUCCCCCUCAAUCGUUUCCCGCUUGGUGAUCUUGGUGAGCUCAUCACCUUCAUGCGCGGUCUUGAGUAAAUCCCAAAUCUCCUUUGCGUUCUUCAACCCUUGAACUUUGUUAUACUCCUCUCUACUCAAAGAGGCUAGGAGUAUUGUUGUUGCUUGAGAGUUGAAGUGCUCGAUUUGGGCCACCUCAUCCUCAUCAUAGUUCUCAUCCCCUACGGAUGGUACCUGCGCACCAAACUCAACAACUUCCCAUAUGCUUUUGUGGAGCGAGGUUAGAUGAAAUCGCAUUAAAUCGCUCCACCUAGCGUAAUCUUCACCAUCAAAAGUUGGUGGUUUGCCUAAUGGGACGGAAAGUAAAGGUGUAUGUUUGGAAAUGCGAGGGUAGCGUAGGGGGAUCUUACUAUACUUCUUGCGCUCUUGGCGCUUAGAAGUGACGGAAGGCGCAUCGGAGUCGGAGGUAGAAGUUGAUGAAGUGUCGGUCUCGUAGUAGACCACCUUCCUCAUCCUCUUAUGCUUGUCGCCUCUCCGAUGCGGCUUGUGGGAAGAAGAUUUUUCCUUCUUCUCUUGGUGGUGAGAAGAGGAAGCCUUUUUCUCCUUCCGUUUGGAGGAGUCCUUCUUCUUCUCCUUCCUCUUGGUGUGGGACUCUUCCGAUGAAGUGCUCCCAUGGCUUGUAGUGGGCUUUUCGCCGGUCUCUAUCUCCUUCUUGGCGUGAUCUCCCGACAUCACUUCGAGCGGUUAGGCUCUAAUGAAGCACCGGGCUCUGAUACCAAUUGAUAGUCGCCUAGAGGGGGGGGGGGUGAAUAGGGCGAAACUGAAAUUUACAAAUAUAAACACAACUACAAGUCGGGUUAGCGUUAGAAAUAUAAACGAGUCCGAGAGAGAGGGCGCAAAACAAAUCCCAAGCGAAUAAGCAAGUGAGACACGGAGAUUUGUUUUACCGAGGUUCGGUUCUUGCAAACCUACUCCCCGUUGAGGAGGCCACAAAGGCCGGGUCUCUUUCAACCCUUCCCUCUCUCAAACGGUCCCUCGGACCGAGUGAGCUUCUCUUCUCAAAUCAAAGCCGGGAACAAAACUUCCCCGCAAGGGCCACCACACAAUUGGUGCCUCUUGCCUUGAUUACAAUGGAGUUGUGAUCUCAAGAACAAGUGAGAAAGAAAAGAAGCAAUCCAAGCGCAAGAGCUCAAAUGAACACGGCAAAUCACUCUCACUAGUCACUAGGGCUUUGUGUGGAAUUGGAGAGGAUUUGAUCUCUUUAGUGUGUCUAGAAUUGAAUGCUAGAGCUCUUGUACUAGUUGAGAAGUGGAAAACUUGGAUGCAAUAAAUGGUGGGGUGGUUGGGGUAUUUAUAGCCCCAACCACCAAACUUGACCGUUGGCUGGAGGCGUCUGCUCGAUGGCGCACCGGACAGUCCGGUGCACACCGGACAGUCCGGUGCCCCUGCCACGUCAUCACUGCCGUUGGAUUCUGACCGUUGGAGCUUCUGACUUCUGGGCCCUCCUGGGUGUCCGGUGCACACCGGACAUGUACUGUUUGAUGUCCGGUGCACAGGUAUGGGCAUGUCUGACGUCUGCGCGCGCUGCGCGCGCAUUAAAUGCACCGCAGGGAGCCGUUGGCGCCGAAAAGAGCCGUUGCUCCGUUGGUACACCGGACAGUCCGGUGCACACCGGACAGUCCGGUGAAUUUUAGCGGAGCGGCUGCCACGCGAACCCGAGGCUGGCGAGUUCCGGAGACCGCGCUUUCUUGGAGCACCGGACAUGUCCGGUGCACACCGGAUAGUCCGGUGAAUUAUAGCGCGCCGGCUUCCGAGAAUUCCCGAGAGUGAAGAGUUGGAGUUGGAGUCCUCUGGGCGCACCGGACACUGUCCGGUGUACACCGGACAGUCCGGUGCCUUCAGCCAGAGGUGCCUUCGGUUGCCUCGUUGCUCCUUUGUUGAAUCCAAAACUUGGUCUUUAUAUUGGCUAAGUGUGAACCUUUUGCACCUGUAUAAUCUACACACUUGGGCAAACUAGUUAGUCCAAUUAUUUGUGUUGGGCAAUUCAACCACCAAAAUUAUUUAGGAACUAGGUGUAAGCCUAAUUCCCUUUCAAGAGGCAUGUGAAGUGCGAGAACACUUGAUAUGUGAUGGUUUUCUAAAAGGGUACACAACAUGGACCUUACAUGGAGAAGCUUCGUCGUCUUUUGUGAAUCAUGGUAACAAUGAUGAUGAGUUUAGCGAGCAUCCUACAGAAGAUGAUGCAAUAUCUGAGUUGUUAAAGGAUUUAGCUUGUGGUUUAGAUGAUGGAGGGGAUAUGGAGGAUGAUGGGUCUUUUGAGGAACCUAAUGAAGACACAGUAGCCAUUCGUAAGCUAGCAGAAGACAAUAGUCAAGAAUUAUAUCCGGGUUGUCAAAACUACUCAAAGCUACGUUUCCUAGUUUGUUUGCUUCACAUCAAACUUCUUGGAGGAUGGAUAGAUAGAAGUUUUGAUUUGUUGGUAGAUUUACUUGUUGAUGCACUACCUAAGGGUUCGGCACUUCCCAGAAACUUUCAUGAAGCAAAGAAAGUGGUCAAAUCUAUAGGAGUCGGGUACACUACAAUUCAUGCAUGUGAAAAUGAUUGCAUUCUAUUUUGGAAGGAGCAUAAAAAACUUGAUUCAUGCUCGGUAUGUAGUCUCUCACGUUGGAAAUCAGAAAAGAAGAGUUUAGAUGGGGAAACAUGAGUACAAAGUUCCUAGGAAGGUGCUUCGUUAUUUCCCUAUUAAAAAAGACUCCAAUGAUUGUUUACUUCUUCUAAAUUUGCAAGUCUCACAAGGUGGCAUGAUGAACACAGAGUAAAAGAUGGUUCACUUAUUAGGCAUCCUGUCGAUUCACCCUUGUGGAAAUAUAUUGAUCAAAAGUAUCCAGAAUUUGCUAUGGAUAGUCGUAAUAUCCGCCUAGCAUUUGCUACAGAUGGUUUCAAUCCAUAUAGGACAAUGAAUGUUAGUUACAGUAUUUGGCCGGCCUGGCAUAUUGAUUCCACUCAACUUUCCACCAUCGAUGUGCAUGAAGGAUUCAAAUUUUAUCUUGUCUGUCUUAAUUCCUGGUCGAUCUUCUGCGGGUAGUGAUAUGGACAUUUAUUUUCAGCCCCUUGUCUAUGGUCUGCUUGAUAUGUUUGUUAAUGGUGUGAAGACCUAUGAUGCCUCAAAGGGUGAAUACUUUCAGUUGCGUGCUGCAAUAAUUUGGACCAUCACUGAUUUCCCUGGUCUAGGCAGUGUAUCCGGAUUUGUCACCUCUGGUGAAGCAGUGUGUCCUGGUUGCCACCCAUUGAUUUGUUCUCUCAGACUUGGAAAUGGUAGCAAGUCUUGCUACAUGGGACAUCGUAGGUUCUUACAUCCAAACCACCCAUUUAGGUCUGAAGUUGAUUCAUUUGGUGAAAGUGAGUUGAGGCCAACACCUACUCCUCUUUCAGGAGAGGAAAUUUUGGAUUGUACAAAAAAUUUGAAAACAAUUUAUGGCAAGAAGCCAUCAGGUAAGCCAAUAAGGAAUCAGAAACGUAAGGAUGGGAAACCAUUAGUCUUUUUGAAAAGGAGACCUAUUUGGUUCACUCUUCCAUAUUGGAAGGACUUGAAAAUUCGAUAUAAUUUUGAUGUCAUGCACAUAGAGAAGAAUGUGUGUGAAAAUAUAAUUAAUACUUUGUUUGACAUUGCUGGAAAAUCUAAGGAUAAUCUGAAUGCUCGCUUGGAUCUUCAAGCUUUAGGUAUUAGAAGCGACCUUCAUCCUAUUGAACUAGAAGCUAAUCAAUUUUAUUUGCCUCCUGCACCCUACUCAAUGAGCUCCAUUGAGAAGAAAUUGUUUUGUCAAGUAUUAAAAGGGGUCAAGUUUCCUGAUGGAUAUGCCGCUGAUAUACGACAUAAUGUUCUUGUCAAUGAAAAAGAUAGUUAAUCUUAAUACUCAUGGCAACCACAUUCUUCUACAAGAUUUACUGCCACUUGCUGUCUGGAGAGUUCUCCCUCAAGAAGUUAGUGUUGUGCUGAUUCGUUUAAGCACGUUCUUUAGAAAAUUGUACUCUCCUGUUAUUCGAAUAAGUGACAUGCAAAGGUUAGAAUCUGAGAUAGCUGAAAUCUUGAGCCUUUUAGAGAUUAUUUUCCCUCCAUCAUUUUUUACCAUUAAUGUACAUUUGAUGGUACAUCUUCCUACCCAAGCAAGAGUGACAGGCCCAAUCCAUUUCCGAAGCAUGUGGCCGGUGGAGAGGUAAUUUUCUUUGGUUUAUUACAUAGCAAACAAAUAACGAUAUAAUUUUUCAAUAACAUGAUGAGUGUUGUUGUUUACAUGUAUAAGUUUCUAAAAAAAUGCAAGGGCUAUGUGCGUACAAAAAGUCACCCGGAAGGAUCAAUUAUGGAGGGUUCUUUGUUUGAUUAGGUUCUCACGCUUUGUUCUCGGUAUUUACAAGAUGAGACCCACUUCAACCAUAGAGUUAGAAAUCACUUACCAACACAAAUUCGUGUUACAACUCCAUUCUUUCACAAAAUUGGUCGAGCAUUGGCUGGAAAGUGUGUUGUCAAUUUAGAUCACAAGACAUGGCUUUAAGCACAUAGAUAUGUCCUUUUCAACUAUUCCAACAUAGAAACAUAUUUAAAGUAAGCUAUCUAACUCAGCGAGUAUCGUGUGAUUAUUUACUCUUCGUUUUGCUCAAUACCAUACUUCAAAGAAAAUUCAUGUUGGCCAUUUCAGCAAACAUGCUCAAUACCUCUCCUCAAUUGGUGUUCGAAAUCAGCGUGAGAUCAACCACAUGCAACAUAAAACCUUCCAUGAGUGGUUCAGGUUACAUGUAAGUAUAAAAGGAGAAGUGAAUUUACAAUCUCAUAAAGUCUUUCACUUUAACAAUAGUAUUGGUACCACAGGUUGAGGAAACAUGUGAGGAGGCCUCAGAAGAGAUCAAAAUUUUAGCUAAGGGACCAAUAAUGAUUGCACAUCAGUAUAACAACUACUCAAUAAAUGGAUUCAACUUCCGUACACAGUCAUAUGAUGAGAAUAGGUCUGUCCAAAGUAGUGGGGUAGCGUUAGCUACUGAGACAACUCAUUUCGAAAGAGGAAAUGAUGACAACCAUACUAUAGGGAAAAACAUCUUUUAUGGUAUCAUAAAAGAAAUUCUUGAACUCAACUACCACCACAAAGGAAAUAUUGUGCUUUUCAAGUGUGAUUGGGUUGAUAACCGUGUAAACAACAAAUGGGUUCGAAAGAUCAAUUUGGAAUCACCACAGUGAAUUUCAAACAUUUAUUCAAUACUGGUGAAAAGAUCUCGGAUGAACCUUUCAUAUUAGCAUCACAGGCAACGCAAGUUUACUAUGUUGUUGAUCCAAUUGAUACUGAAUGGGUUGCUGUUGUUCAGCCAAAACCGCGAGAUUUGUAUGGAAGUGAUGUUGAUUAUGGUAUCAUUGAUGAUGAAAAUGAUGUAGUUCCGCCAAUCCUUGAUCUGCAAUCUAAUGUAUUUGGAAGUCUUAUUGUUGGAUGUGUCCCAUGUGCUAGAACAGAUAUAGAUGGUGUCAUUGUUAGUGGAGUAAAACAAGGAAAAAAAGCUAGAAAGUAAGUUUGAUGAUUCCAUGUUUGAUGAUAUUUUUUUAAUAUAUGCAUGCACUUGUUGUUUGAGUAUAAAUAGCUAAUCUCAUCGUUUGAGUAUAAAUAGCUAAUCUCAUUGUUUGAGUAAGUUUGAUGAUUCCAUGUUUGAUGAUAUUUCAGGAAAAAAAAUGGCAAGCGCAAGAGAAAGCAAUAAAGAUGGAUCAUGUAGUGAAUACGAGCAGCUGAAGCAAGAAAAUAUUGAAAGAAAUAAAAGGAGGUUGGCAUCUCUUAACAUCCCUGAAAUCGUCAAGAGUAUGGAGCACCAAGGUCCAUCCAAAAAAAUUUCAAAGGUCGGCAUCUCUUAACUGAAUUUCUUUGUGCUUAGUUUGUGUUCAAUUUACUAAAGCAGUGAAAGAAGCUGGAGUGAUCAAUGUUUUAUUUCUUUAGCGAUCAAUGUUUUAUUUCUCUAGUGGAGGUAGAUAAAGCAGUGAAAGACUAUAAGAUUUGCGAUUGCAAAUAAAUUCAGUUUAUACAGUUUUGUUCUCACCGACAACAUGAUUGUUGCUAUUGCAAAUAAAUUCCGAAGUCUGAACAAAUUUAAGUUGCCAACUAUUUUUAAGUUGCCUGAUAAAUAUAGUUGGGGACUCCUGAUAAAUUUAUAUUUGAACCUCACCUCUUGCACCGUUUUUAACAUUUUACGCUGAUUUAACCAAAUGGUCUGACGGGCUAACGGGUUGGCCCGGCACGGUCAGAGCUGCGGCCCGCGGGCGUCGGGCCUAGCAAAAAAAUUUAAGGUGGACAUCUAAAUUUCUUAUUCUCCAGCAAAAAGUUGAAAGAAUGAGGCUAGGCCAUGGUCAGUUAACUCAUCAAACACAGCUGCAGAGAUUGCAAUCCUUUGGGUCGGCAUGAGUGUAGCCAAGUAAGCUUUAGGAUUCUUUGUCAGGUACUUCAAGUGUUGUUAUUCAGAGUUGCAGACUUUCAGUUAGUGUUGUCGCGUUUCAGAGUAUGGAAACUGAAUAAGCUCAGAUUUUGUAGUGCGUUAGGAGGUUGUAGUUGAGUUCGACGCGCACUCAGUUUGUGCGGGAACGCGUCUGUUGCCCUGUCUCCUCGGCACGCUAGAGAUUCGUGUGGAAGGCGUGGCGUAUGAUCCAGGCAUGUUUAGUAGCUUCAGAGUCUGUAUCUGUUUCAUCUUCAGUUUUUAAUAGAAAGAGUCUCGGAAAAGCGGUUGUUGCCACACCAAACGAAUGUGUGUCUCUGUGUUCCAGCCAUUCGCAUGUAUUGUGUGUGUGUGUGUGUUUUUUUCCUCUAUUCAUCUUCUUCGUUCCAAGCGAGAUCGAGUUCUUGCUGUAACAUUUUGGGCUUCCUACUCUCCUUGGUCCACUUAUCAGUUUCAGAAUGCUAUCCAAACUACAAAAUUAUAACCUGAAAAAUUGCGUCAUUUUUGCUACUAUGUGAUAGAAUGGCCAUUCUGAACCUGGAGUUCAGUCUUUCAAUGAUGAAAAACAAUGUAUUGAUAAACAGAUAAAUCUGUCGAAACAAUAUAGUUACACAUGUAGUGCUUGAGUCUAAAGAAGUAUUAUGGUUUACAGGUAACAGAAGGAUAAAUCAGAACAUGGUCUUUAUUUGGAUGAAACCACACGGCCUAUAGCACUUUUAUAUAUCUUCCUGAAUAGUCCAUUAACAGUUUCCAUUGUAUUGGUCGUGUCCUGGACAAUAUUCCCUUCAAGAUGUUCUGCUCUCAUUCUACAGCUGCACUGAUAGUCAAACUUGCCCAUUUUACAGCUACAAACACGUAGAUCUUGUUAUACAGCUCGUCGAGGAGCCCAAAAUAAGCAACCCUCCAUGUGUUCAUGAACAACAGAGCAGAAAACACCAUCCAUAGCCCCACCACAAGCCCCAAUACAAGACUGAAAUAAAAUGGUGCAAACUCGAUUUUUUGCCUAUUGCUUCUGUGAUAACCAGGUGUGAAACUACCAUUUCCUGAACAAUUAUUUAGAUAGCAGUUUCAGUUUUAUAGCAGUUCCAGUUUUAGCAAAUGACUGUAUAUAUUUCUAGCACUUUUAGCAAGUGACUUUGGACACUGAUAGACUUAGAGGGAAAAGGGUAUAUGUAUUUCUAGCACUUUUAUAGCAGUCAUUUCUAGCAGUUUUAGCAAAUGACUGGUUCAGUGUGUAUUUAUAUAUCAGUUUCAGUUUUAUAGCAGUUUUAGUUCUAGCACUUUUAGCAAAUGUAUAUAUAUAUUUCAUAGCAGUUAAAUGCAUAACAUUCAUGCCAUUUGCUUGUAGAAAAAACAUAAGACAAGUGUUCCAACAACUAAACCUCCAAACUUGCGACCAAGGCCACAAAGACAAAGUGUUCCAACAACUAAACCUCCAAACUUGCGACCAAGGCCACAAAGACAAAAUGCUCAACCUCAAGACAAACAAGCGAUUGCUGAUUUACAGACGGUGGGAGAUUUUCUCACCGACAAUGGUGAUGACUCAUAAUCCUCAUAUUUAUAUAUCAUGUAUAUCAUUUAGUACAUGCAACUUCUUUUAACAGUUACCAAUAUGUGCUUUUCAUUUGCUUAAGUUGAAGUUACCGAGGAUGAUCCAAUCAAUGCUACAAAAAAGAGGCCUGCAAGGGGCAUAACUAAGAUGGAGGGAAUAUUCUCAAGGUCACCUGAAAUGCCAAAAAUCAAAAUUUUACUCAAUGAUCGAGGUUAGCCUAUUGGUAAAAGUGCUAGACAACUUUCAAGUGCUAUUGGAUGUCAAGUUAGAAAGAAAUUGUCUAUUGCUACCACGGACUGGAGGCUUGUUGAUAUAAACAAGAAGUAUGAGUUGUGGGAGGAUAUAAAGACAUAUUAUGAUGUAGAUGAUGCUGCCUUAAACUGGGUGAUGCGCACAACUGGAAAGAAGUGGAAGCAAUUUAAAGCAUCCAUAAAGCAACGAUACUUCAAUCCUGAAUUGUCUAUAAAAGAAAUUCCAGAAUGUCCUGAUAAGAGGGUUAAUAAUGAUGAUUGGCACUCUAUGUACAACUAUUGGAUGUCUUCUGAAUUUCGGGUAAGCUCUACACUUUAGUUCUAAUAAAGCAACCAUACUUCAAUCAUGUAACACAUAUUUUUUAUUCUAUUUUUAGGUUCGCUCAGAAAAAGCUGAAAUAAAUCGACAAAAGCUAAAGAUGCACCAUACAACCGGCAGUGUGAGCUAUGCAUGUUCAGAAUAUGAUUUGGUAAUGUUCUUUGUAUUUUACUAUCUCUAUUCAUGAUUACAUCCUGCUGCUCCACAUUCGAUAUAUAUGGCUUUAGACCUAAGCAAAAACAUUGAUAUAUAAGCUCUAUUGUCCAGUCUGAAAGCAUAGGCAACAAUGAUACAUUUUAGACACAAAAUAGAUUGCUACAUGUGCUGCUGUUUUCCUUGUGUCAACAGAACCACUUGACUACUUUACUACUAGUGCUGAUGUUCUGUGUUCCUUGUGCUGCUGUAGUCCAGUUUUCACCACUUGACUACUUGUGCUGCUGUGCUGUUUUCCUCAGAACCCACUCCUAAACCACCUAUUGAGGUUGUAGUCCUCAAAAAUAGAUUGUCGUUUUCCUUGUUGUUUUCAAUGAACUUACAUGUUACAUUUUUUUCCUUUGUGAAAUGUGAUACCUUAAGUUCCAAGGGUGAAUAUGGAGAUAGAAGUCAUACUGCAUUGUUACUCACUUGAUAAAUUGUUUACUAAAAUGUGGGCACCAAAUAACAAAGUAUGUUUGCAGGCUGUGAAACUAGGACGUCCUCCACGAAGAGAUGAAAACUUUAUCCAAACCCAUACAAGAAAAAAUGGAGUUCCUACAGAACAAGCAAAACCAAUAAUUGUAACGCUUUGUUGUUAAUUUUUAGUACAAUAUGCAUUUCUAUCUGAAUUACCGUUUAUGAUGUGAAUCAUCUUUAAUUCUCUAUAGUACCAACUUAAUGAUGUUCUUGGAGUAUAUCCAGAGUUAAAUGACCGGUCAAUUCAAGAGGAUGAUGCAUUCUCUGUUGUUUGUGGAGCGAAAGAGCCAAAAGGAUAUGUUCGUGUUUUGGGUUUAGGCCCAACUCCUCAAGAUAUUAGCACUCCAGGGUUGAAGUCUUAUACUGCAACAAGACUACAAAUGGAGAUUCUUGCUCGUACAAAGGUUCAAAGUGAGAAGGCUGCUUUAGAACAGCGUGUACUUGUGCUACAGACUCAAAUUGAGCAAAGGGCUCAACCAGACCGGGCAAGUGAAGAGCCCAUGUCACAUCGCGACUCUACUUCAUUUCAACAUAAGGUAUUCAAUAUUUUCAUUCAUGCUGCUUUAUCCUAAUUUUCUAGAUUCCUUGUACUAUGCUAUGAAAUUGUGUUUCUUAAGGUGAUGAGGAACAAGUUUGCUGCUGAGGAUGAGGAAGACAAUGAAGAAUAUUGUGCUUCUGAAGAUGAGGAAUUAGAUGAUGAGGAUGAUCAAAUAUUUCAUCAGAUGCAAGGUGCAAACUCACCAAGAUCUACAAGGCACUUUGCUGAAGCUUCACACUCUAAACAUGAUGAUCUUGUAAUGCUCUCAUUCAUUUCAUACAUUUUCUAACCUUUAUUUUCAUAAACCCUAAAAAACAUUGAAGUGAAUUAUUCUUAAUCAUUUGCACCAGGUUGGAAAAGAUGUCAUAUUAUAUGUUUAUGUUGAGAUUUGAUUUGCUUGUGGCUAAAGGGAUAAUUGUUUCAACUAAACCAAGCAACACAGUUGGAGGCCAGAUCCUUGGAAGGCAAUAUUGUGAAGUUAUUGUAACUUGUGUGCUAAAACGAGAUACAUUUUUGCCUCGCCCUUGUGCUAAUGUGGAAACUAUGGCUGAUGCUUACAUGAUGUCAGUUGCAUGGCCAUACAAGAAAGUAAUAGUCUAUAUCUUAUCUUGUUUAUGUUUAGAUUUAUAUGAGCCAUCAACUUAAUGAUGAUUAACCUUGAUUGCACCAGUUGAAGUUGGUGCAUAAGGCUGCAACACCGUCUAGUGGAGGUAGAUAAGGCAUCAAAACUGUAUUUUUAUUUGCAAAUGUAGCAACAAUAUACUAAUUUGAUGUACUUUUUUCUAGGGUGUUCUGGACAAAGAAAGCUUGUACCUUAAAACAGGAGGAUACAAGAAGAUGGAGUGGUUGUCUGAAGGUUUUUGAACUUCUUGAAGCAUUAGUGUAGCUUUAGUGCUUUUGUGACUGGUCAGCUCUGGAGCAGCUAGAGUGAUGUAGUUGUGGGCUUUUGAACAAUAGCUGGAGUGAUAUGAAACAUUAGUAAUGUAGUUGUGGGCUUUUGAACUGCUUCAAGCUGGAGUGAUGUCGCUGUGGUGCUUUUGUGACUGAUCAUCUCUGGAGCUUUUGUGAAUGAUCUAGCUAGCUAUCUGUAAAUGAUCUAGUUGUGAAUGAUAUUAUAAUUGUGAUGCUUUUGUGAAUAUAUAAUUGUGGUGCUUUUGUGCUUAUGUGAUGGAUCUAUGACUGUGGUAUACUGAUUAACUGUUUAUGUCUUUAUGAUUUGUGUAUAAAAAUCUGUGAUUUGUGGUGCUUAAUUAAAUGUAUAUUAUUAUUAAUAACAACUGUAAAAAGGGCGACUUUCUGUUGGUUGCUAAAUGUAUAGUAUGACGACUUACGGUUGGUUGCUAAAUCUAUAGUACAACAACCCACGGUUAGUCGCUAAAUAUACAAUAUUAGCAACGGACGGUCGGUCGCUAAAGCCUUUAGCGACGGCACUUACAGCAACCAUCCUUAUGGGUCGCUAAAAGUUUUUAGCGACCAACUGUAGGUCGCUGAAGGCCGUUUUAGCAACCAACCUUAGGUCGCUGUAAGUGAACCGUCGUGUAGUGAUUGGAUCGGGCCAAUAAAUCCAAUGUUGAGCUCUCCCAAACAAUUUUCUCAACACACGUGGUAUCAUAGAUUCAAGUUGUAGUUGCUGCAAGGUGGUUUUCUAGAGUUGGACCUAUCCCGAACAGGUAUGCAUUCUCUAGAUCUGCUCCUUGAUUGUCUAGUAUAGUGAUUCUACUUGAUUUUGGUGGAGGAGCAGGUUAGAGAAUACGAGAGAAUUGGUUGUAGUGUGAACUGAAUACGGAGCAUUGAGGAGCGAGUAUUCUAGCUCUCAACUCCCGGUGUAAAUGGAGAAUUGAUCCUUGUCUGCUCCCCACCAAAAUCUAAUUAAGCACAAUUUUGUUGCUUGGCUGAGGAAUGAAUUUUAGCGAAAAACUAUUUCGAAAAGCUUUGCCAAACCUUCCCUAAUAACUUUAAUAUAGUUCAUAGAAAGAGCAUUUGCAUGAACCAUGUAAAUAAAAAACUAUAAAAUGUAUCCCACAAUCUUGUUAUUACUUAGAGCUAGGCUCCAACAUGAAUUUAUGUUAGUUCUCAGCAGACACUCUAGAAACAAAUAAAUCCUAGAUUUUCUUGCAGUAAUCAGGAAUAUCUAGCCUUAAAUUGGAUAUGUUCUAAUCAUCAUCAUAACUAAUAGCACUAGAUAUAUUCUAUUUGACAAAAAGCAUCCAACUUUGUCACAUGAAAUAUAAGUUCAUUUUCCUCUCAAUCCCCUCCAAUCCCCUGUGACCCCCUUGCCACCAAAUCAAUCCUAAAGUGGAAUCGCCUCACCAUCGUUUGUGGGGGUUUUUUUUCCUUCUUCCAUGCAAGAGAUUUCUAAAAAAGGUCAUUGGUGUUCUCUAUUGGUUCGAUAUUUUCUUUGCCACGUGUAUUGAUUAAGUCACCAUCUCGCUUGAUACGGUUUAAUAUAUCAAGUGGUUGCUUGUCUGGAAAUCUGGUUACAUUGCCAUGAAAGGGAUGCGCGUAGGCUGUUUCAAAUAGCAGAGUUGGAGAUGAUGUGGACUGGGGGUGUCCAAGUGAACUAAACAAUGCAAGUAUAUUGUUAUUCGAAGUUUCAAAAGCUUGUGGGUUGACGCAUUUAAGUUUGAGGCUGAUUCAUGCACACACAAGUGUUCUACACUAGCGCUACUUGAUGUUGUGCGUGGAAUCCUUGCCAUUGGCGGCAGCAAUGGUGAACGUUAAGCUAAUCGACCACAUCUAUAUGGCUAUACAUAUGACGGCAGCUAGGUGAAUGUUAGUGCUAGCGUAUGGUUGUUUGUACUAGAGAUCUUGUGAUGUUGAAGCUCCCAAAUAUGGAGGAAAAUUGUAGUAUACGUAGUAGGAGGGAGUAGGGGAAGAGGAACCAAAUGUGUGCCUAGCUUCCUUCUUUUCCAACAGAGAACCUUAGGUAACUUGUGCGUGGAAUACAAGUGUGAUCCUAAGCUAUAAGUAAGUUAAACUUUUUUAAAAGAAUAAAAACAUCUCAAAUUUAACUAAAGUUAUAUAAUAAAUAAUAGCAUUUAUGAUAUUAAAUAAGUACCAUUAUGCUUUUUUAUUGAUUAUACUUUUGUAAUAUACCUAUAUAUAUAUAUAUAUAUCCAUAAUUCUCUGUAGUUUUAAUUAAAUUUGAGAUGUUUUCGCUUCUCUAACAAAAUUAGAAUGACCCAUAAUUUGAAACGGAGGGUACAUAGAUAGCACAAGGGCAAGAGAGCAGAGGACGUGGCAGGCAGAAUCCAAUCCUCAUCUUUAUAGAAAGAAAAAGAAAAGACCAAAGGUGAAGCUAAAUGAAACGCUCAUGGAGGAAUCACUUGUGACUUGUUCGUGGAAAAAGAAUUGACAGCACGUGUGGCCCGGACGAAUACUAUACUAUACUUGCCUUGCCGUUGAUGUGCGUGCCUUGCCGGCAGCUGGUUGGCCAUAUGUAGGAUAGGAGUCCUAUAUAUGCAUGCAUGCAGAAUGCUUGCAUUGGUCACCUCACCACCCUCAGCAUUUACUUGCUAGCUAAACUCGUAAGCAAAUCGAUCGACGCCGGUGCGGCCGCGCGCGGCCGGCGGCGGCGAGCUAGCACACAGUACAUAAUGGCUGAGCUCGCGUCGGGCGCCGUGACCUCGUUGCUUGGCGUCAUCCGCAGCGAGUGGCGGCUGCUGGGGCGCGUCGGCGGCGACGUCCACUUCAUCCGGGAGGAGAUGGAGAGCAUGAACAGCUUCCUGAUGCACCUGGCCAGGACGACGCCCCCAGGCGGCGAGCACGACGAGCAGGUGCAGACCUGGAUGAACCAGGUCCGCGUGCUCGCCAACGACUGCAACAACUGCAUCGACCUGUACCUGUACCGCGGGAACCCCGACAUCCACCUGGGCAGGGACCGGCUCCGGCGCUACCUCCGCUGGGUCCCGUGGUUCCUGCAGAAGACGGUGGCGCAGCACCGGGCAGCCCUGGAGCUCAGCGUGCUCAAGGAGCGGGCGCGCGACGUCGGCAAGCGCCGGCUGAGGUACGGCGUGGAGGUCCCAAAGAAGGCGGCCGUCGCUCCUGCAAGUCCUGGGGCGGCGGCGGGCGCACAGGGCGGCAAUGAAGCUGCUGCUGCUGCUCUCUUCCACGCCGACGACGUGGAAGACGGCGGCGGGCACGAUCAGGCGUGGGAAAGGGCGACUGCCGCUUCCAGCCGGAUCAGAAGAGCCCUCUUUGGAAUUUACGUCCGGGAGGACUACUUGAGCGACCUGCUCGCCGAGUGGAUACAGCAGGUCCGAGCACAGCCACAGUGGAGCGCACCUGACGACCAAGGCCGCCAUGACACCCGGUGCGGCGCCUUUCUGGUGCCCAAGGAGGAGUCUGUUGCUAUUGCACGGCAAGCUUCGGCUGUGGCGGAGAAGCAUGUCAAGAACACCAUCUUGCUCGACAUCCCAUCGUUGCACAGAUGGAGGGCGCUGGGGCCCAAGAAUGUCCUCUACUACAUCCUGAGGGAGAUCGAGCUCAAGCAGCAGAAGACUCAGGCUGAUGCCAAAUCACAGGGGUGGCGGCCCAUCCGCGAGGAAAAAAGGAGAAGGAUUGAAGAAAUCAAGAAUGAGAUUGAAAAACUGAAAGCGAUGGAUAAGAUUCAAGAGAUCAAGAACCUGAUUGAAAACGUGAAGGACAACAACCAGAAGCUGCAGCCGUACCUGAGCAAACCAAAGCGGAAGGAAGACCACAUCACGAAAGAGAAGAUCAGGAACAAAAACCAUGCAUUACCUGAGCUCCUCGUCCUGCUGCUCAUGUCAUCUGCUGCUGCGGACAAAACGGACGAGAAGAUCCAAUGGAAGGCAUUGGAAGAUCACUACGAUGUCAUACUCCAGAAUGCAGCCAAGAGUCUCAAAGAGCAUAUGGAUCAAGUAAACAAAGGAGCAGCCAAGGGGCAAGGGAUCAUUCACAACGUUGCCCAGUACGCUCGCAUCCUGCAAGAUGUGUUCCCAAGUGUGAGCAGCAGCAGCAACAACAACAGCACGAGGCAGCCCCAGGACGCCCAGGAGCAAGAAGCCACUGCCGAAGCUACAACAGGCAAGAUUCAGAUCAUCAUCGACAAGGUGAAACAAGACAUCCUGAGUGAGGUGUUCGAGGCGGUCGGUGGUGCCAAGGCCCAGGAAGCCACCAAGACUGAUACCACUACAAGAACAACAGCAGCAACAACCCUGGACGAGGCCCAAGUCAAAAAAAUGAUCCAGGAGGCUAUACAUCAGCUGAAGGAAGAGAAACCAGCUGACAAGAAACAAGAAACAGAUGUCUCGGGUGGUCAGGGUUCAACCGCAGCAGCUCCUAGACAAGAAAACCCCGACGAGAAGAAGGCCCAGCCGGACACUACUGGUAGUAGUUCAGCUCAGCAGGGUUCAAGUCAGGGAGCUAAAGCUAGUACUGUUGAUGAAGCCACGAAGAAGACCGGAGAACUCCUGGUUCCUAUUAUUAAACAAACCACAGAGAAGAUGGGAGAUCUCCAGAGGAAGAUCAAAAGGCAGCUGGAUAUCAACGGAAUUGUGGCCAAGAUUAGAAGUCAUCUGACUGGUCAAGAGACCAUGAUCAUCCUCAGAGUAGAUUACCAGCAUGUGGACGAGUGGGAGAAGACCAGGAGUGCCUUGAGCCUGCUGCCUCGUGUCGCUGUCAUGAUGAUCCUGACCAAAACAGACAGGAAUCUAGAAAGAGCCAGGACAGAAUACUGCCAUCCACAAGGGGAGCCCAUGGACUACACCUAUCUCGCAGCGUUCUACCACCACAUCGCGCUGGAGAUUACAGGCCUGCAUCAGAAGAGCACAUCCAGCGAUGACGACGCCGCGCAGCAGAUCCGGCUCCUGCGCGCCAUCUUCGAUAAGUGCGAGCCAUACUUCAUGUGCAUGAAGAUAUUUGCCCAAACUCUGUACGCCAGGCCCAGGAGAAGCAAACAAGAGCUGCAGAAGCUGUACAGCACCCUGGAGGGGCUCCAGCAGAGAUCGUACCGCAGCAUUGCUAUGAAGAUGCUCAAGUUCUCCUACAGGGACGUGAAGAAAGAGUACCAGUCCUCCUUGCUGUACCUAGCUAUCUUCCCCCCGGGGCACAGGAUCCGGCGGUCGACCUUGAUCGCGCGGUGGGUUGUGGAACGGAUGGUGACCACGGAAGACUGGCGCUGGUCCAGUGCCGUGAGCAUCGCUGAGCAAUGCUUCGACGCGCUCGUCAUCAGGGGGCUUGUCCAUCCCACUGAGAUCAGCGCGACAGGGAGGGUCAAGAGCUGCAUGGUGGGCGAUGUCACCUACGACUUCAUUACCAAGAUGGCCAAGAAGCGGCGCAUUCUGGAGCCACGCCUGUCGCACCACCUGGCCUGCCACUUCUCCGUUUUCAGCGACCUCCAUCUCAGUGUGUCUGACAAUAUCAGCAAUUUCCUGAACAGGCUGUCUGAAUCAUCUCAGUGGCCUCGGCUCAAGGUGCUUGAUCUGGAAGGCUGCAGGGGCUUCAGGGAAAACCGGCACUACCUACCGAAUAUCUGCAACAAGAUAGUGCUGCUCAAGUAUCUCAGCCUGAGGAGAACAGAUGUUGACAAGCUCCCCCAUGAGAUCAACAACCUUCGCGAGCUGGAGGUGCUGGAUAUCCAGCAGACGGAGGUGCCUGCGUCAUGCACAAUGGAUCUCCUGCUCCUGAAGCUGAAGCGUCUGCUUGCUGGAAACAGAAAUCCAAGUCCACGCACCCACGGCCAUGUCCUGGUUCCUGGGAAGAUCGACAAAAUGUCAGACAUGGAGGUGCUAUCCAAUGUCAGGGUGAAGAGUGACAAAGACUUGGAAGGCAUCGGAAGGCUAUGGCAGCUGAGAAAGCUCGGGGUGGUUAUCAAUGUCAAGGACAAGGACACACUGCUUAAGGCUGUCACUAACCUGCAUGAGUGCCUCCGGUCUCUAUCGAUUACUCUUGACGCCACCACCAGCCACAAGGGGACUUUCAGUACCAUCAGAGGUCGAAGAGAGCUGGAAGGCUCUUCCACGGGCCGCGAUGAGAAGAAGAUCAUGAAAGAGCAUCCCAAGGUUCUUGAGAGCCUCAGCAUCAGUGGAGACGUACACAUAACACCGAAGCGGAUUCUUCCGUCAGAGCUGACCGACAAGAGCACUCCACUGAUCAAGUUAACUCUGAGUAACACCUUGCUCACGCAGGACGACCUGGUGGCCCUCGCCAAUUUGCACAUGCUACGGUGCCUGAAGCUUCGGCACAACACAUAUCCCGGCAACAAACUCGCAUUCAAGCAGGUUCGGUUCCAGAAACUUGAGUACUUACUUGUUGAGGGCUCCAACUGGAUUGAGAUCAGCUUCGAAGAAGAUACAGCAGCUCCAGAGCUGGUGAAGGUUGUUCUGUGCUUUGAAAUCAUAGAAUCGAUCGCUGGAGUGGAUCGCCUUAAGAAACUAGAGGAGCUUGAGCUGAAUAAAUGUAACAAGGACAGCGACAAGACUGACCCUGCUACUGCUGCUGGUGUCACCAACGCCCCCGUCCCCUCCACCGCAACAGCCCCUUAUCCUGCACCCUCUGCCCCAACUGCCGCUUCCGCUGUCGCCACCGACCAUGUCCCCUCCUCCACCCCCACAAUCCGUAACCCUGCCCCUUCCCGCACUACCACCACUGCUAGCGCUGCCAAUCCUACCCAAACCACCACCUCCACCAACCAGGUGUUGCUUCCCGAAUUGCUUUCCAGUGCCAAACAAGUGUCCAAGGUGACUCUUCACGGUACAAUGCUGAAGCAAGGUGAUCUGCGGGCACUCGCAAGGAUGGAAAACAUACGCUGCUUGGUGCUCUCACAUGGAUCCUACGAUGGAAGCCAACUCGACGUCAACAAGGACGAGUUCCCAAGACUCAAUGUUCUUGUUGUGAGAUGCCCUACGGUCACCGGGAUCAAAUUCGAGGCUGGGUCUUCUCCUCAGCUCGAGAAGCUCGUGUGGGCCUUCGCCGAAAUGAAGACUUUCUCCAGCAUCGAGAACCUUACGAGGUUGAAGAAACUUGAGCUCAUCGGGCACUCCCUACCUGACAAGGUGAAAGAAGAUAUCGACAAACAUAGAGACGGAGAUAGGAUCCAUUAUACACACUACAAACCUCCCGGGGAGCCAGAAGUACUGAGCAGCAAGAAGCGCGGGAAAAGAGGAUAGCGUUACAGAUUGCCUACACACAUCAGGAAGGACAAGGGUUGGCGCGGGAGGGAGAACUCAAGGUUCAUCAUCGAGUCCCUCGCUCCCACGGUUUGUAUCCGUGUGUGUGCAUUUAUAUUCUGCUUGUGGCGUCGAUUGAGUGUGUGCCUGUGCAUUGGUGGGUAGCUUGUUCUACAUGCGUCUCCCUCUCUGCACAGUGGUAUUUGGACUUGUGUGUGGCUUUCCUCUGUAUUUGACUGCAUAACGGCUUGUCUCUCAUGUAACGCAACGAAUAAGUGCAAUGCUUGUUUGCACAUUUGAUUUGUUACUAUAUUGUAUACUGUAUGUACGUGGUACACCAAUAUACACUAUUGUUUGAAUGUUUGAUGCAUUGAGUUCUGCAGCAUCAAGUGUGUGGUUCAUGUCUCAUGCAUUCAGAAUGUCUCAAGUGGCGGAGCCAGCCCGCAAUCGAAGCCUGGGCACCAUUAUAAACUUCUAAUGUUUAUUUAAAGUCUCAAAUCAAUUAUAGGCUAAUAAUUUUAAGGGAAUAGUUGAAUAGAUAAUACUAACAUUUAAACAAAACAAUUAUUAAGUGCCUUGGAACCAUAAAUCCACAAAUCCUAGCUAUAAAAAAGUUCACAGAUUUCAAUCAUAAAUUCAUCAAUACUUCAACUAUCAAUUAAAUGGGAAUUCAAAUAUUCAAUCCUUGUAAUUAGACAUAUGUCUGUUUGUCUGAGUAGCCAUGAAUUUAGUUUGAACUAAACUUUAGAGCCCAUACUUACUGACCUUCAAUUUAUGAACCGGGCAAGGCAAAACAUUAGCAAAAAAAUAUUCAGGUAAACGCCUGGGGCCUGACCGCCUAGAAGCACCACAUUUAUUGUCCCAUCACCAACCUGAAUAAAUAAGAAAUUUAAGGUUGAGCUUAAUAUGCAUGUCCAAGAUCUAUAGUCCAAUAGACAUAGACAUAAAGCCAGCAAAAAACAAUGAAAGCCAAAACUUCAAGUCAAUUAUACAGCAUCAUCGCUUUACAAGAGGAACCCAGAACUAGAUGUAAACUCAAUUGUUAUGAUACAUAAAAAUUUGUUACUUGCAAAUAAAAACUGCAAGACUAAAGCAUAAAAUAAGAAGCUCUAAGACACCAUUGCAUUGAGCCAAAUGCCUGUCGAUAAUACUAGAGACAUCUUAGUCCAAACAAAAGAGGUCAGUGGAUUGGCUAGAAAUGGAUUAGGCCUACCAUUUCAUUCCCACUAUUCAAAUUGCAAUUCCUUGGCUUAUUCCUCAACUGCAGAGCCCACUCAUGACUAAACUCUGAAUUUAUAAGUCAUUCCACCAAAAUAGUGUGCCUAUCACAGCUUAACAAACUGAUCCUACUUUACUGAGAUUAAAUGUCACGAAAUGGUUUAGGAUUAAUAGAUAAGGGUUCUUAUGUUGUUAACUGUAUGCACACAGUAACAAUACCAUAGCCAUUAGCCAAAGUAAUGCAUCUAAUAGGUCGCAGAUUCGCAAUGAUGAAGAUUUCCACAGCUCCAAGUUGGCCGCCUGGGUGGUGUCGCUGCCCGAGUCCCGUGUGGGUGCGUCACGCGUGGCGGCGUGGGCGCGGCCGGUGCCCGAGUACCGGGAGGCACCGGCGAAGGGCCAACGACGGUGGUCGGGCGAGCCGCGAGCGGCAGAUAGGGGCGCGUAGGUAGAAGGGCCAGGGCGCCAGGGUCCUAGCGCGGGCGCGCGUGGUGGCCGUGAGAUCCUGGCGGGCGACCGGUGGCAGACGGCUUCGGUGCUCGGCGGGUCGCGCGGUGCGGCGGUGGGCUGGGCUCCUGGCAACGGCUUCAGACUUCAGAGUCAGGAUAGGGAUGUAAUCGAAGUGCAUAGAGAUAGUUACUCAUUUAUUUGUUUUUAUAUAGUUUGUUUGGAUUUGAAUUGGAUUCUAGAGAAACCCAUAUGUUUUAGCUACAUUCUGCCUUCUCAUCUAGUUUAGUUUGCUUGUGAGGAAACGGUGAUUUCCGAAUACUGAAAUCUGUUUUCAAAAUUUGACCAAAAUUUAGGUCUAAAGGGAAACAUUUACCAAAAAAUACGGAAACGAAAUCGGUAGAAAAAAAUCAGAAACAGAAAUGGUUUGGGUCUCUUCCGACCGUUUCCAAAAAAAUACUGUUUUUAUUCGGUAUUUUACCGUCUGUAAUGAAUUCAGUAUUUUUCAGAAAAUAUUAAAUCUAAACUAAAAUUUAUAAAUUUAUAAUAAAUUUAUCUUAACUUAGAAAAAUAUGAAGCUAAUUUUAUUAUUUUUAUAAAAUCAAGAUCUAUCUAAUGAUAUAUAGUUUAGAGUUGUUUAUAACCUUUUAUGAAUCUUAUUUAUGUUUUCUUACCAAUUAUUACUCUCGAUACAUAUAUUCAUAAUUUGCACAAAAAAACUUGAGAAGGACCAAGAGGACACCAAUUAUAUUUACUAUGCCAAUAGUAAGAGUACGAUUAGAAUGCAAGUGUCAUAUCAUUAUACACAUCUUGAUUAUAUAGUCAUAUGCUAAUAGACUUAUUAUUGCUUUAUUUAAAUACAUGAUAAUGAUUUUAUUAUUGUAUUACAUACCUUAUAUAUUGUGACCUCCUACCCUAUAUUAAAAUGUCUUAUAAAUUAUUAUAAAAGUUAUAUGGCUAGUUCUAUGCUCCAUAGUUUGAUGUGUGGUAUUGUUUUAUGGUUUUUGAUGGUUAUCAUGCAUUUUCAAUCGAAUAGUUUCGUUUUAUAAGGUAUUGCCUUAUGAUUUUCUAACUAUAUGUAUGCACUUAUAUUUAUGGGAUAUUGCUUUAAUACUAUGUGAGAUAUUCUUUAUUUUUUCAUGAAUUUGUGAACAUUUAUAUAUUACUACUAGCUUUUAUGUGGAUUUAUGACUUGUAUGAUUUUUGAAGUUAAUGGAGGGUAUAUGUUACCGUUUUUACCGAUUAUAUCUUAGAUUUCAAUCGUAACUGGUGUAUUUUCUAUACUAAACUUUCGUUUCCGAUGUUUUUGAAUUAUCGAUGUCGUUCUCGUUUCUAGAGUUAUCGUUUUCGAUUUCGUUUCUGAAGAAAAACAUGAAAAUGGAAAUGUUUGUGUUUAUCAAUCAUUUUCACCCCUAACCAACAUUAUUAAUUUAUGGCGGAUAAGAUUUAAAUGAAUAUUGGUAUCUUAAAUAUCCAACUUUGAGUAUACAAACACAGAUAUAGAUCAGGUACUGAAUACCUGAACUCGGAUACAGAUCAGAUCUCAGUUAGAGAUGGCAAUGGGGAUAGAGAUGGCAAUGGGUACCCGCUACCCAAAACCCAGUGGGUUUUUGCUCUAUUAGGGUAUGGGUUUGGGUCAAUUUCUCUGUCCAUAGGUUUGUUAAUGGGUUCAAAUGAAAACCCAACGGGUACGUGGGCAUGAGUUUGUUCUUCCACUACCCAUACCCGCAAACCCAUGGGUUUUUAAAACCCGCCUUAAAAUCAACAUUCCUUAUAAAUAUGUCUCAUAAUAUUAUUAAUUGAAUAUGUUCUAAUUGAAAUAAACUUUAUGUAACAAAUUUUAGGCUAAAAUUAGUUAUCACUUGUUCCUUUUAUGCUAACUUAUUAAUGUAUUGAUUGUCAUUUACAUGAUGAAUUAUUUUUUAUGUUGAUGUUAGUGGGUAUGGGAAACCCGUAUGGGUAUGGGUUUGGGCAAAAUUUUAUACCCGUCAUGGGUAUGGGUUUUUUAGCGGGUGUAUUUUUUCUUCGCGGGUAUGAGUUUGGGCAAGUAAUACCCAGCGGGUUUUUACCCAUUGCCAUCUCUAAGGCCUUGUUCGGUUAAUCCCGUUACCCAUGGAUUGGAUGAGAUUGGAAAAAAUUAAGAAGAAGUUUGACUUGCUCGGGAUUUAAACCCACCCAAUCUCGUUUAAUCCACAUGGAUUGAGAGCUAACCGAACAAGCCCUAAAUGGGGACCUGCUCCCCAACUGCCCACGGGGAAUUUCCCCAUUAGGGCUUGUUCGGUUUGAAGGGGUUUAAGGGGGAUUGGAGGGGAUUCAAUCCCCUUCUAUAUAAAUUUGUAUAGAAGAGGAUUGAAUCCCCUCCAAUCCCCCUCAAUCUACCCCUAACCGAACAGGGCCUUAGGGGAUGGGAAAGAAACUUUCCCCAUUGGGAUGUAAACUGGAAAAUUUCACCCCUCGAUGGGUAAACGGGGAUGGGGAAGCAUUCCCCUCACGUUUCCCACGGGGACCCAUGUGACGAUGUUUUCGUGUACUAGUUAAUAAUAAAAAUAAAUAAUUACCUUGUCAAGAGACCACUUAUUAUCAAACUGUGUUCAUUUUGAUGUAUACAUAAUGAUUUCUUACAUCUGACAAUAUGUAUAAGUGACAAUGUUUUAUAUUAAUAACAAAGAACGUAUGUCCUAAUUAUAAUUUAAAUGUGGACGAGGAUCCCCGCGGGGAAUAGGGAUAGGAAAGAAAUGUCCCCCGCAAGCGUUCGUAUGAUCCCCGUGGCAAAAAAAAUUGUCGCUGAGAAAGGGAUAGAGAGUUAUUCCCCGACGGGGAAUUUCCCGUUGCUAUCCCUAAUCUCAGCCUUGUUAGACGGAUCGAAUUCGAAAUACAGACGGAUAAUAUACACCUUCAAAUCAGAGGCGGAUCUAUAGUGUGGGCAAUGUGGGCCAUGGCCCCACCUCAAAUUUUAUAAUAUUCAUAAUACCGUAGAGGAUUAGGGGGAGCAGGAGAUCUCAGCCGCCGAGCGCAGCGCCUAAGCAGUGGUCGCCCAUUCGCUGUUCACCCAGGAGUCUCAGGUCUUCUGUUGGUCGCCGCCCCACAUCCCACCGCGGACCGCGACACCGCCCCACAGGCCAUAGGCAAACCGCCACCCCUGCCCCUUCUUCUUUCUCCCGUGUUCGCUCUGCGCUCUACGCUCGGCCCGUCGGCUGCUCUCCCACUCUACCACUCGCACUUGUACUCUUGUAGCUAGGCCUAGGCAGGCUGCUACUGCUACUCUGCUAGCACCAGCGCGGCGACCUGGCGUCCUGUACUCCUGUAGCACCAAAGGGCCAAAGCAGAGUUAACAACUGGUCAGCGCAAGAUGUUCGACGAAAUGCACCAACGCAUAGAAUUUUGGUUAACAACUGGUCAACUAUUGUGUGUUAUCAAAUAUUGUUUCUAUAAUUUUUCAGAGCAAAUGAGAAGGUUUUCCAGCCACUUUCAAGAGGCUCUGGCACUGGUGCUAAUAAUAAUGUGAAUAACACACCAACUGUUGGAGGAACGUUCAAUCCGGAUGACAUAGAUGCAGAUCUCGCUUUAAGGAGGCAAAUUUAUGAAUAUGAUAAAGAUGUCCAAGACCAAGUGAGAAGGGCAUAUGUUCUGAAUGGUCCAUGCCAACCAAAGGGUUUAGAUUUCCCUCGUAGACAAUAUGGACAAAGUUCAAGGCCUUUUAAAGAGGAAUGGUAUGACAAGUAUGAUUGGUUGGAGUAUAGUGAAUCAAAAGAUGCAGUAUAUUGCUUUUAUUGCUUUCUUUUUAAGCAAGCAGUGAAGGGUGAUAAAUAUAAAGCUUUCAAUAAAGUUGGGUAUAAUAAUUGGAAGGAUGCAUUUGAAAGGUUGAAAUCACAUGUUGGUGGUGUUAACAGUAUCCACAAUAAUACUAGGUUACAUUUUGAUGAUUUUAACAAUCAAAGACAAAGCAUAUCUACUAUCAUAUCUAGUGAUAGUCGUGAGGUUGAAGACCUUUAUAAAAUUCGUUUGACUUCUUCAUUGGCUUGUUCCAGAUUUCUUUUGAUGCAAGGUUUGGAUUUUCGUGGUCAUGAUGAAUCAUCUAGUUCGUUAAAUAAGGGAAAUUUUCUAGAAUUGAUUUAUUGGAUGAAAGAUAAAAUUAAAGAAAUGAGAUGCUUUUGAGCAUGCUCCAAGAAAUUGCAUUAUGAUAUCACCACAUAUUCAAAAAGAUCUUGCAAAGUGUUGUGCUAAACAUAUCAUAGAGAACAUCCUAGAAGAAAUAGGAGAUAUAAACUUCUCUAUUCUUAUUGAUGAAUCACGUGAUGUUUCUGUUAAAGAACAAAUGGUUGUGAUAUUGAGGUAAUAGUACUUCCAUAUUUUAUUUGCGUAACAAAAUUGAAGAUGAUUGGAUGAAUGAUUUGAUGGUUUGGUAUACGGAGAAAGAGAUAUUCAAAUCCCUUGAUGAUGAGACUAUUACUAGAAGACUCCAGCGCCUUCUUUACUACUAUUAAGGCUGUAAGGGGUAGGCUGCCUCCUUGCGUUCUGCCUUUUUUUCAUUUCCUGUUUUGCCCUCCUGCCCGCACACCUCACCUGCCCGCGUCGCCUCCUCCCCUGUCCUCCGCGCGCGUUGGGCGCGCGUUGGGUGGAGACUCGCCGGAGCUCCGUCGCCGCCGCCGGGAAGCGCACGUCUCCAUCGCCAUCCUCUUCGUCCGUACCUUCCCGAAGCGCCCCAAGGUGAGAGCGCACCCCGCGGAUCGAAGAAUCUCGCGUCGCCGUUUCCUGAUUUGACCUGUCGUCUAACCGAUCUGAACCGUGGCCCUGACCAGGCGGAGUCCUCGGGGUCACCGACGGCGUCCGUCUUGCCGUGAUGCGCGCGGCCAACCUCACAAUGCUCCCUCGCCCCCGUCCAUCUCGUUGUGAUGCGCGCGACGCGCCUCGCGACACGCCCCCACGCGUGCUCCGCCUCGCCGCAUCCCACUGCUCCACGCUGCCAUCGCCACCCACAAGGCGUGCGACCUUGGCCCCGACAACCGCAUCAGCAGUGCAAGACUGAGACACCUCUCGUUGGAAGGUUCCAUGGUGAGUGCUGAUCUGAUCUGACGAAGGAGGUGGAGGACAUGGAGAUGGCGGCGUGGAAGGCGCCUGCAGCGUCAUGUUUCCCGACGACGACGCGGUGUUAGAUCCCUUGACCUAAAGCAACCCGCCAUCACGCCUCUCCAACACAGCCUGCUCCUCUGGCCUGACCUGACAACUUCGGAGGCAAUCUUCCCCUGCGCCAAACACAUCUGGAUCCAGGUAUCCUUCGACCACAGCUCUUCUCCUGUCAUCGUCCUCAUGCAGGUGUGCCCCCCCGAUGAGCAUAGGGUGGAGAUCUAUCUUGGCUCAGGUUGAUUCCCUUUUCUCUUGGUUAGAUGAAUUCUCUUUUUAAUAGAAAUCCCAAUGUGUUUGAUUAGAUGGAUUCUUUUGUUGGUGCAGAUUGUGUGGAAUGUUUCCUAUACUUUGCUCUGCUUCCUGUUUCUUCUGGGAUUCAAAUAAACCACGGUGCCCCCUUGAGUUUGGAUUAAAUUUACAGGUAGUGAUGGAGAAUAAAGAGUGCCAACUGCAUUAUUCCCCGUAUAGUGCUGGGAAGUACAAUUCUCACACUGUUGUACCCACCUAAAUUUACAUGGUUCACUACCAGGUCACGUAUGUCAUGCAAGUUUUUGCUCUCUAUUAGUCCAAAUUCACUUAUCAAUCUGUUAGCAUGGAAUAAUUCAUGGGAUCAAUGAUCCAUAUAAUUUAUGGUAUUCCCUUCAUUGCUUUGAACUGAAGUAUGGGAGGGAGCUGUGCUAGAUUGGACAGUUCCCUUAUGUUUCUGAUCUUUGUCUCCCACUUUGGUCAAUUUCUAUUUUAAAGGUCUAAAUUCAUGCUUCUUUAUAUUAUGCAGAUUCCUUCCAAGGCUCUGUGCAGCUGUUCAUCCAUUUCUCCCUUCGAUGUCGGUGUUUGUCCCUGCUAUGUGUGUUGGAUCACCAUUGACAUAUAUGUGGAAGUAGGUUCUCUGCUGAAAGAAUACAUACCUGUAACAAACUGGGGAUUAGACCGGCAUACAGUGCUGGUACCCCACCUUGGUCGACAAUCUUAAGGCAUGUUGCAAGCGCAUUCAUUCUGGUUGCUUUUACUUGCAUCUGUAGCUGCCUACGGACCACUUCAAAUGGGUAUGUAGCAGCUUCAGCACAGCAACCUGCAAUGGCCCCAUAGAGUACAGUCCUCACAGUACCCAGUUCAAGUUGAUCCAAUGCAUUUGUCUCUUGUUUUUGUUGCUUCAUCAUCGAUACCCUUUUCUUUCCUUAAGGAGAAUGCAGAUAAGCCAUCUUCAGUAUGUCAUACACUCCAUAGAAUACAACGCCAGAGGGUGCCAUGCUGAUAAGAGAAGGCACCAAUCCCUUAUACAGCGAGAAGAAUCCUUCAGUUUGGAUCAUGUGGCGGGCAACACCAAUGACCCCACCGAAAGCUUCACCUCCAGGAGCAACCAUCUUUGUCCUGAUCUGAAACCAACAGCUCAAAUCAGGUAAUAGUCAGUGAAAAGAUGACAACAAAGUAAAAGAUUAAAGAAAUAUGUGGUACAAAUUCUUUAAAAAAACCUACUGUAUCCAUAGGUAUGCACAUGAUCGUUGCACAAAGCUAUAAUUAUCUGCUCUGCCAAGAAUUAUCUGAAGGGUGGGUAUAUAAUUAACAAACUAUAAUUACUGCAUUGUCUCCUAAAUACAGAUAGGAUAUGUAAUGCAAUGUUACCAAUACAUAUUGUAGUAUAUUGUUUACUAUGCACAAAGCUUGUCUAUUUUAGUGCACAAUCACCAUGCCCAAAUCCACAAAUUAUUUCCAUUCGAUAGGCUUACUGUGUUGUAUUCAUGACCUGACUGUUUUAUCUAACUGUGGUUUGAUUAGUUGCUCCUGCCAAGAAGGGUGAUGCCAAGACCAGGCCUUGAAGGUUGUCAAGGCUGUGAAGUCUGGGCCAGGAAAGAAGAAGACCAAGAAGAUUCGCACGUCCGUGACAUUUCACCGCCCCAAGACCCUGAAGAAGGCUAGGGACCCCAAGUACCUAAGAAUCAGCACUACCGGAAGGAACAACCUUGAUCAGUACCAAAUUCUCAAGUAUCCCCUCACCACAGAAUCAGCGAUGAAGAAGAUUGAAGAUAACAACACUCUGGUCUUCAUUGUCGACCUCAAGGCAGACAAGAAGAUCAAGGCUGCUGUCAAGAAGAUGUAUGACAUUCAGGCCAAGAAGGUCAACACCCUGAUCAGGUUAGCAUUUGGUCCAGUGUUAUUUUCUUGUGCAUAAUCUAUUAUGUUGUGCAACUAUGAGUUAAUUCUUAACUGUGUCUGUCCAGGCCUGAUGGAAAGAAGAAGGCUUACGUGAAGCUUCUCAUGUAAGCACCCUUCGGAUCUCCCCUCCCUCCCUUCUAUGUCUCUUUCACCAGCUGGAUCCAACCAUCCAUUCCACACUCCCCUGGCCCCUCACCCUCGCUGGUGUCUAGGCAUGGGCGUCGCCUAUGAGACGACCAAGAGUGGCGUCGGCGUCGCCUCCAUGGGCGUCAUGCGCCUCAAGCUUGUCAUGAAGUCCAUCGUCCUCAUCGUCAUGGCCAGAGUCCUCGGCAUCUAUGACCUCAUCAUCGCCGCCAUCAUCUCUGCCGGGAUCAACCCCAAGGCCAAGCCCAAGCCCUACUUCUUAGACGGCUACACACACCUCUCCUUCGAACUCGCAUGCAGCCUUGCUGGCCUCGCUGCCGGCAUGGCCAUCAGCAUCGUCAGAGACACCAGAGUCAGGUAUUGUACUACUCUGAUUGCAGUGUGUAUGCUUGAACAUAUAUGAAUAAGCAAAGCUGCAACAUUUUUUCAUCAGAAAAUAAGCAAGCCAAACUGAUCUAGAAUACACUGUUUUUGAGAAAUUAAGCAGCAACAAAGAAGUCUAUGUGCCCCUUCUUCAAUAGCAAGGUAUUGUUGUGCAUUGGGUUAGAUGAUAUGUUUAUGUGAUCGUUACAGUGUUAGGUCUUGAGGUUAUGGCUAAAUAGUCAAUCAUCAAAAUGGCAGUUACCUCACAACUUUGUAAGAAAAACAGGUUAUGUGAUCUUAGGUAACUUCUGAAAUUUUGUUGCUUAGUGUAGCAGAUUGCCAGGGUUACCUUACCUUUUUCUGUCUAUCUCGGUAACAAAAGACUGUCAGUCUGCAGACACUGAAAAAAGCACACUCCUUUUAAACCAAAGGACCAUGAUCACAAGAGGGCAUCUUCUGCUUUCUUGCCAUAUAUGCUACCCGUCUCAGAGAUCAAUUUAAGCUGAACCUUAGUGUCCGGUUCUGUUUCAUGGCAAAGACCAGUUUCUAGCCUUGAAGUCUUUAUAGAAUGUGGACUUCUUUGAAACAACGAAGAACACUGCACGCAAAGUGAUGGUAUUAUUCUCCAUCGGAUACUAAAAAUGUUGCAUGAACUAUAUACAUAGAGUAUGUAAGGGUGAAGGGACAGACCAGGAAUUGCAGGAACAAUACAGUCUUUAUCCUGAAGCACCUCCUGCCUAUAAAUUUCUUUGUGCUAGAUAUUUUGCAAUUUGGCAACACUAAAGAUUUUGUAUUUAUUCAGUCUAGAUUUGUCUUUGUAGCUUUAUAGGCAGCACUGUUCGUCGAUUCAAGCUGUUAAUUAAAUCAAUCAGGGUCCAUCUCAAAAGUUUCAUGGUGAAAAUCAUACACUUUGUGACAUGUGUUAUGUCCCUAUCUUGUUUCAGUGACUGCAUCUAUGUCCUGUGCUGCUCACCUAUGUUCUGGCGUCCCUAGGUGGCGAGAAGGUGACGAGGCGUGUCUAGCACGGUGAAGCAUGUCGUCGAUGCACAGCAGUCUGGCACGGGCGAGAAGGACGCUCCGUUCGUUGUGGAUGGCAUCGAGAUGGCCAAUGUACGCGGGCCUAAAUCCGAUACUGCUCUUCUUCACCUAUGUCCUGUGCAUUUCAUUUCAUCUCACAGCUUUUCCUCUUCUUUGUGCUUUGAUCUGUUGACAUGCACAUGUUCUCAUCGUUUAUUCAUCUUGCUUGCAGAUCACAUCACUUAUUUAUCUGAUGACAUUGUAUUUUUUGUUUGUUUCCAUCUUGUAUUAGAUUGAAUGGAAUGGAGGCUCGAAUACUAUGGAUGAAAUUCUUGUUAGGAUACAACAACUGGAAGAAGCAGCAGUAAAGCGUGAGCGAGCUAUGGCGUACGCGUUCAACCAUCAGGUUUAUACUUACUAAUUCGGAUGUUGUAACUCAUUUCGUUGUAGAAAUCCACUAAGAUUCAAAUUAUAAAUAAAAUUCAAAUUUUCAUUUAAAAUCUGCACGCAUGACUUAACUUUAAAACCAAUCAUAAUUUGUUCAAGAGAAUAGCAGGAUUGUGAGUGCACCUAACAGAACGAUGUACUUUACCCUUUGGCAGUGGAGAGCAAGGUCUGCCACAAGUCUAGGAAACUUCAGCUAUGAAGUCGGUAAGGAUGGCUGGGGCUGGAGCUGGAUGGACCGCUGGAUCGUAGCAUGACCAUGGGAGUCGCGAUCCAUGGUCCACCCUGAGAACCCGAAGAAAGCACGGGCGAAGAAAGAGAACACCACAAACCCAUUAGCUCUCAAGCUACAGGGCUCCAUUACCCUAAGCAACAAUAUCAAUGACCGGAAAACCCUGAAAAAGAAGCCAUUGCCUUCAGCUUCUCUUACUGAUCAGAAGAAGCCAUCACCGUCGCCUUCUUCCGAUCAGAAGAAACCAGUACCAAAGGAGCAGAGAGCAAAGGUAGCUGGCACUCCUCCAAAACCAAAGGCCAAAUAUAUGAAGGGGAGUCAAGAGAAAAAGCCACAACCACAAUAGAGAGUGUCUCCUCCGCUGAGCCAAGUGAGGUCUACUUUCUUGUGCACUAUCAUGUCAUCAAUCUGAUCCACUUGUAUUUGAUAUUUGUGUAGUUUCACAUAUCGAGAACUACACUGAAACAUAAUUUCUAACUCUUUCAUGUUUGUCUUGACACGUGAUAUAAGCAUACGCUCCUUCAAGUUGGUUUUAUUUUGCACAAAAUUGGACGUCAUUCCAUUGGCUUAUUGAGAGCCCUGAAGCAAGAUUAUGGUAUUUCAACUUCUGGACCAAUCAGCUCAGUCUCUUGUUUGUGAGCAAAAUAACCUUCAGUUGGAAUAUCUUCCAUCAUUACAAGAUUAUCAGAAUAUGCAUACUCAUGGAAUAUACCUUCAGUCCUUUGCCUUUUCCAACAAGUUGGGUUAACACUUGAGAUAUCAUCAUUUAAUUGGGAAGGGCCAUCGUCUAACCACUUAUAACUGCUAUUUUCAGGAUAAUGCAUUUGCUUAUACCCUAACUUGUAAUCAAUACUGGCAACAUUGUCAUCCAGGCGUCAGGAAUUAGUGAUCCUUCCAAAAAAACAGACUAUGCAAAACAAAUGUCAUAUUAAUAAUCUAGAAACAGCUUCGAGAUGGGUUUUAUCUAUUGAUGAGGAACCUGUUAAGAAAUGUUUGAUUCGCCUGUAGCUGCAAGGAAUGCUAACUUUUUUUGGUUCGUCUCUGCGGAGGACGCCAUUGUCAGUUGUAGCAUGAAAAUGUUGGUGCAUGAUAGCAGCAAUGUUUUUUUUGUCUUCCUCUCGUUUGAUUGUGAUGGUGUCUACUGAACCGAAACAAAAUACAUUAGGUAACAUUAUCCUAUGCUGCAGGAAGCAAAGGCGUACGCUCAAGAGAAUGGUCUCUUCUUCAUGGAAACUUCUGCCAAAACAGCUACCAAUGUGAACGACGUGUUCUAUGAGAUUGGUGAGUAACUAGCAUUUAAACACACAGACAGUGUGCUGCUGCUCAAUCAUUUACCCACUGUCACUAUUACAUCCUCAUUUCAGCGAAGAAACUGCUUCAAGGGCAGCAGGUUCAGAACCCACAAGGCGGGAUGGUUCUCAACCAGAUACCACCUGAGAGGAUGUCUGUUAAAUUGCAGGUAGGUUACUGACUGCACUUGUUUGUGAAUACUUGGAGUGACCACAACUAAGUCACACAAUGAAACUUUACUUUCCAGAGUGUAACCUGGUAACUGGUAACCAUUCAUAAUAUUUUGUUUUUACAUUUUUGAUAUCAAUAUCCAUUAAUAUGUUUCCCCAUUUUGUUUGUAAAUCAGCCGGACUUCUGAUAGAAUGAACUGAAAGACUUCUCUAACAAAAGUGGAGCUAAGGGGAGCAAGAGUGCUGAAAGUAGUCCAAUGUUUUUAGAUGUUCUCGAAUGUUAUCUGAAAUAUGAGGUUUAUCUCUUGCUUGAUCAACAAUAGAAGCAAAACAUCAUCCUAUUGUAUUUCAUUCUGGUUGUGUUUUCUACAGGAGGAAUCCAAUGGGAAGCGGUGCAUAUCGACCAAGCGCGGUGGCACGGAGGACAACCCGGGAAUGGUGGAAAGAAGCAGGGGAAGGACAACGCAACGAAGCCCCCCUAGCUGCCCAAGGACUACAUCCAUGUCUGGGCAAGGCGUGGCGAGCAAGGCAUGGCGAGGCGAUGGACUGUCACAACCUCAUGGAGAGGGUACAUUUCCCUAAGGCUCUGUUGCACUAUUAUUUCUUUGCAUCAUCAUCCUUGCUGGCUACAGAGAUUCGUGUGUUGAGUUUUUUUCCUUGCUUCUUAUGUAUAAUUCAUGUGAGACGGGAGAAGAUCAGCUAGCAGAUGAAGCCGCUACAGGAUCUCUUGCCGAGUUGCAACAAGGUAACCGAGAAGACACUCUCACUCACUCACUCAAUUAACAUCAGGCACUUGUUGUCACUCGAGUAGUUUGGUGUGCUGCUUAGGUUUGAAUUUAGAGUAAAAUGUUUCUCAUUUUGGGUGGUGGGCAAGGCAGUGAUGCUCGAUGAAAUCAUAAACUAUAUCAACUAUGUCAGGUGCAGCUGAAGGCUCACACUUCAGUCGCCUCAAUCCUCGGCAUGCAGAGUAGAUUUAUUUUCAUGUGAGUGCUGCAAUUAAAAUAGUCGCUCUUGUUCUAUGACAAAAAUCAAGGGCCUUAUUUUCAUGAGCUGCAAUUGUUAGUGCUCAGUACACUCGAACCAUAUCAACUAUAUGGGGGAAAGAAUGUUACUAAUUUGUGACGAAGUAGCAUCUUUGGUGAAGAAUUUCAUGAUGAAACAUCGCAGACAGAUAGUAAUGGAAGGUUGACAUUCAUUUGCAGAUAAGGACGUGCCAAGAAUGGAGGAACAAAACCAUGAAGACUACAACUGAGAGCCGUAGUUGGCCGAGUCGUUUAAGCAGAACAUGCCUUUUUAACACAGAGAAGGUAAUAUGUCUUAGUGGCAUAAUACACAAAUCUUAAAAGUUCUUUAAUGGCAUAAUCAAGACAAUCACAAUAAGCUAGAUAAGGUUUUAAACCUGAACUGAAGUCAUGCAGUUGACGACAGUUCCAAAUUUGUUCCCCACAGCCAAACCAAGAACCAAGUCCUCACACAGAGAAGAAUCAGGCACGGGCUUCAGGCCAAGCUCCUGCUACACCAGUAUCUGCCAUCAUUACUCUGCAUAACAGCACACAGAAAUGUGAGAUAUAUGUAUUCUACAAAGCUCUCCAAGAAGAAAGCAUUGUAUUUUCGCUUGUUUGUAUACCCGUUAAUGAGGGAGAUGCAUAUUUGUCACAUUUGUACUAUGGCGACCUGCUAUAGCUGCGUCCACGAGCCGGUGAAGGAGUACGGCGCCU